AUGGAAUAUUGCAUGGAGAAAAGUCGGUGUGCAUGGACUGUACUAUUGAAUUGAUUGAUUGAUUACUCGAGACAUGUAUAUAUAUAUAUAUGAGCCUUGCUUUCAAACUUGCAAAAUCGUAGCGUGAAAACAUCUCUUACAUUCAAAUUAAGCUAAUCUCUUAUUAUUCCAUCGAGACCAUGGGGUUUGAAGUCAGGAAAUAUAAACCACGCGAGCCUAAACUACCUGUUUCUCAGCUAACUAAAGAGCAGUUGAGGGCAAUUUUCAUGGAGUCCGAUAUCAACAAGGACGGUGUUCUCAGCAAGAAAGAGCUAAAGCAAGCCUUCGGUCGUCUGGGUGCAUUUAUCCCUGCCUUUAGAGCCGCCCGUGGGCUCCACCAUGCCGAUGCCAACCACGAUGGGGUUGUAGACAAGGAUGAGUUGGAUGAUCUCAUCAAAUAUGCUUAUCGUCUCGGGUACAAGGUUGCUUAGAGCUUUAAAAUGUAAUUAAGCAGGUUGUGCCACUGUGCAUGCAAUUGCAUAUAUGUGUGUGGUUUGCCGUGGCAUCAAUUGGGAAAAUAAAAACUUAUUUUCUGUGUCUUUUUUAGAAGAGAUGGUUCUCCCUCUAUGUGAUCAAAGAUCAAUCCAACAGCAGGAUGGGUGUUUUAUUAUUAUAUAUAUAUUCUGAACCUGGAGCUCCGGCCCUUUUACCUUUGCAGGAAGUAAACUCAUUUAUUCAAGAACGAUGCCUCAUAUUGAUCUUUUUCAAUUGAGAACUAAAUUAAGAAGAAGAAAAAUGCAAAUAUUCAUCGAUUCGUUUCCUCUCCAUGCAAUUUAACAGAUGAAAUAUCCCUAUGCUUAUAUAAAAUUAUGAAAUAUACACGAAUAUUUGACUUAAAAAAAUAAGUGUUUUUGUUAAUUAAUUAAGUAAUUAUUUCUCUCAAAUAUUCAAAACAUGCUAGAUGAAUUAAUUAAAAGCAAUCAAAGUGUUCUUCGACCCUUGUUUUUCUAAUUACAACCAAUUAAUUGUAUUUUUAAACUAGUUUUUUGCACACUGAAAAUACUCCAUUCUUCCAAUCCAUUCAAAGAUGUUUCCACAUCUAAACUAAGAAAGUUAUAAGAAAUUUACAGCUUUUCAUAACUCAUAACCAAAUUAAAUGAGGAAGGAUAAUGCCCACCAUUACUGUUGAGCCAAAACAAAACCAUAUAUCUUAGAAAAAAAAUGAAUAAAAUUGAAAAAUCAUUUUUCUGUACAUUUAUAAAUUGACAAAUCAGUCCCUAGAAAUUAAUGUAAGUUCUAUUCAGUAUUCAGACUCGCCUAAAUAUAUACUGAAGACAUACAAAAAUUGGCAUUGGAUCAAACUGAAAGAAAAAAUUAUUUAGAAGCGCUCAACUUGUAAAAGCAAUGAAAGCAUUAAUGAUGACCAGUCCCAUGAUUUGUUAGGGUCCUGAACUUCUGAAUAAGCAUGUUGGAGAAAGUGAACUGGCAGUUCGGACAUUGUUCUGUCGUGCUUGCCAUGCACAAUCUUCUUUGAUGAGGUUUGUGGCUCUCGUGUUCUUUGUAUUCAUCAGUUUCCAGUUAUUUAAUUUGAUAUGAUGGAUAUCUAUAUUGGAAAGAUAGAAGACUGAAAUAUUUGGCAUUUUCCUUACUCUAGUGAACUCUGAAUUUUGUGUACAUUGGAAAUUCCAAAGUACUCCAUGUUUGUACUGUUCUUUCCUCUUUGAUCUAUUUGACUUUAAUUUGUGAGAUUCAAAUUUAAUGACCUGUAAAGUACUCACAGUUGGUUUUCUGGCUGACGAGGCUUUCUGAACAUUGCAUGUGUUCUUCUGGGUAAUCUGAGAUCCAUUAAGUUUGUUGUACGUACUUUGCAACUGAUUCAUUUUGUUUUAUAUAGGUGGAUGCUUUGACGAUAACUCGUGGAAAAGAAGGGGGUAGGUUGUCGAGCGGCUUUUAAACAAGGUCAGUAACAUUUCCUGAAUGGAAACAUGCGUUUUUCUCUACUCAAUAUUAACUUGUUUCCUGUUUGUAUGGAUUAAUGUAAUGCCUGUAAUUGCAGUUGCUUGUGUAGAGUUAGAUGGUUCAGAUCGGCGUGCCACUAACAGGUAUGAUAAUAUCUCUCUCCUCUCCUCUCCUCUCCUCUCCUCUCCUCUCCAUUACUCUCAUUAAAGCUUGUGUUUCUGGUGGCAGGCCUGAGGUGAUGGAAAGGCUUUCAAUAACCUUAACUUCUUUAAGACUUAUUUCUUAUAAAAUAUGUUUUUUAUAUCUUUAAGAAUUAUGUAUGAUCUCUAUGGUUUUUAUUUGAUUUUUUUUAUUUUGAAACUCAUGAUUACAAUUUCUUUACGCCGGGACCUCUGCUAGCUUUCAAUAACCUUAACUUCCUCAUUAGCUGAGUUCAAAGCUUCGGACUCGUCUUCACUUAUUUCCUCUAAUUAACUAAUUGUAGGCCUUAAGCUUGCAUCUCUCCCAUAGGUUUAGACACGAACAGGAAUAUGGAAAUGUAUAGAAGUGUAUAUGUGGUCCAAAACAAAGGGGUCAAAGAUAAGUAAAGAUCAGAACAUAUCCAUAAAGCUGCACGCAUUAUUUGUUUAAAGUAGAGCAUUUUUUUAUAUGGAAUAUUGCAUGGAGAUAAGUCGGUGUGCAUGGACUGUACUAUUGAAUUGAUUGAUUGAUUACUCGAGACAUGUAUAUAUAUACACAUGAGCCUUGCUUUCAAACUUGCAAAAAUCGUAGCGUGAAAACAUCUCUUACGUUCAAAUUAAGCUAAUCUCUUAUAAUUCCAUCGGGACCAUGGAGUUUGAUGCCAAGGAACCUAAACGACGCCUGCCCAAACCACUUGUUUCUCAGCUAACUGAAGAGCAGUUGAGGGCAAUUUUCAUGCAGUCCGAUAUCAAUAAGGACGGUCUUCUCAGCAAGAAAGAGCUAAAGCAUGCCUUCAGUCGUCUUGGUGCGCUUAUCCCUGCCUUUAGAGCCGCCCGUGGGCUCCACCAUGCCGAUGCCAACCACGAUGGGCUUGUAGACAAGGAUGAGUUGGAUGAUCUCAUCAAAUAUGCUUAUCGUCUUGGGUACAAGGUUACUUAAAGCUUUAAAAUGUAAUUAAGCAAGGUUGUGCCACCGUGCAUGCAAUUGCAUAUAUGUGUGUGGUUUGCCGUGGCAUCAAUUGGGGAAAAAAUAAAUAAAUAAAUAAAACUUAUUUUCUGUAUCUUUUUUAGAAGAGAUGGUUCUCCCUGUGUGUGAAGAUCAAUCCAAUAGCAGGAUGGGUAUUUUAUUGUUACAUGGAGCUCCAGCCCUUUUACAUUUGCAAGAAGUAAACUACAGGCCCAUUGAAAUUGAUCCACGCAUCAUUUAUUCAAGAACGAUGCCUCAUAUUGAUCUUUUUCAAUUGAGAACUAAAUUAAGAAGAAGAAAAAUGCAAAUAUUCAGACUCGCCUCAAAAACUGAAGACAUACAAAAAAUUAGCAUUGGAUCAAACUGAAAGAAAAAACUAUUUACAAGCGCUCAACUUGUAAAAGCAAUGAAAGCAAGAAGGCUUCUGUUAUUUACACGAAGAUGAUUGUAAAAAAUGGAGAAGGGAGAACAACUCGUCAGUGCUUUGCCAUUCAACAACUGCAAAUGAUUUCCAUUUAUGGACUACGCAAGUUACGCAGGUGGCUGACCACAUCAUAGGAACUGCUAAGAUGUUGGUAAUCAGCCCGGUGAAGAAGAUUUCCUUGGAUUUGCUCCGAGCCAUUCGGUCUUGGGUCAAGUUGUGCUGUUUGCGAUGAACAGCAGUGGCGCACACGUAUCCUGUGGUUUCUUGUCUCAUUUGUGUUGCAAGUUCCACGAACUUUCACCACCAAUAUAGCUUCCUUGUCUCUGGUGUCUUCACACCAUGAAUUUUGAGGGACACCAUCAAGAAAAACUUCCAAAGUGGGGAAAUCUUCAAGAUGAAUUGACACCUCGGCAAUAUGGCCUGGUUUAAUUAUACCAGCUGCUGGAGUGACCUGAUUCAAAUUGCACAAAUUUUGAAAUGCACAAAGCGGUACUCUUGAUCACCUAUAAUAGGUAUAUAAGGGCGUGCUUAUCAAGUGAAAUCGAAUGGUCAUUAGUGCUGUGUGUGCAAGCAAUUGGAUUUAUCUUUACCGCACCACCCCUUAUUUUCACUGGCACUGUUCAAUAACCAGUACAUUAUAAACAAAUUAGACUCAAAUUCAAUGUUGAGGAGGACAAGCUCCUCUUUUGAGCCUCGUAGGCAGGUUUGGUUUAUGAUAGCACGGAAUGGUACAAAGGAAUCCAUCCAGCCGAUCCCAAUUAGUUUGGGGUCAGGGCUCUGUUGUUCAUAAUAGAGUCGGACAUUUUUACAGUCUCCCGUAUUUUUUUUGAAAGAUCAAGAUCAAUAUGAUCUGGUAUCCAGCAAAAUGGCCCAAAUAAUGGGUAAAAGGAACAAUUAAGGUUAUUAGAGUAUAUUUUUCUGUGAAGCAGGGAACUUACCUCAAGCCAUUGCGGAAAGCCAUAGGAACCUCUUGGAUGAUGAUCUGAUGCUUGUCCAUUCUCAUCAAUUAUAGAUUGGCCUUCACAAAUAAUUUCGAACAAAGCAUCGUUUUCCCCACAUUUAUUUGUGAUACGCAAAAUUGUUGUAUCCUGGUUUGGAAGGAUUAUGUUGUUUGUGCUGACAAUAGUUUCUGGAAUCUUGCUUAGUUCAUCAAUUAUGUAUCUAAUUUCCUCAUUUGAUUUCAUAAUGUCUCCAAACUCUUGUCUCCUCACUGACUCAUCAACUCGUGCAAUAUCAACACUGAAUAUGCAACGAACAGGCUUGUGAUCGCUGUCGGUUACAUCCAUGCAAGCAUCGUACCUAUACAAUAGAUAGCAGGUUAUAGAUAUGUGUGUGUGGGCGCACGCGGCCGGGCAUGUGCUUUUCCCUAAAGUGAUAUUAUUUCCCUAUGAUGCAAGUGGACAAACUAGCUAAUGCUCGGGUAAAUGCAGACAUUGUCUAGGCAAAGGAUGAGUCUUAGUUAAUCAACGCAAAUUUAUCUUUUAGCAGGUAUAUCUUUAUUCCCUGUACACAUCAGAAAACCUUACUAAGAAAACUUACUGGGAUAUCAAAGAAACAACAGGACAGUCUAAGCAGCAUUCAGAUACAUGGGCUGACCGGCUAUCACGAUAUAGUACCCUGUCACACCAGGCAGGGAUGCGCUUCUUUUCACCUGAAUCAUACCCUGCAGGUAGUUACAGCAGUUAAAAGUUAUAAAACUUCUGACUAUCCGUAACAUAAAAGCUGGAAAAAGAUACUGUAGCCUAUUGAUACCCCCCCUCUCUCCCAGGGGGUUCUCAAUCUGAUUUAUUACUCAUGGUUACCUACACAAAUCAUAUACUUAACGAAACAUCCAAAAGGGAUCCAUUAGAAACCAAUUCCUGCCUCAAUAAUCCAGGUGAGUUGACCCAGAAAUCUCCAUAAUGUACAGUAAGCAUACCUGCUAAACCAGGUUGGUGCUUUUCAAACUUGUAUGUGGGAGGAAAUCUAAUAACUGCUUCGCGCAUUCCUUGGAACACUUUUCCAACUCCCAUUUCUGUUCGGAGUUGGUCCUUUUCUCUAAGCCAAUCAAAGCUUCUCUGAGACACAAAAUCCCUUGCUUCGUCAUAAGAUAUACCAUCAAGCCGAUAAUUAAAAUCGCCAAGAAAUAUGACCAUGUCUGCCUCUGAUAACUCGGGUAUUCCUUCUGGACGCAAGGGAUUUUGGACUGCAGAUAAAGUGCCAGCUGCAAAAGAAAGGAGCAAUGGCAAGCCAGUUCUAUAAACAAGCCAAAAUAAAUGGCAGACAAUCGAGCAAGACAAGAAAAGGUAUGACACCAUACCGGCUGCAGCAUUGAAGAAGUUAGAUGGUCGGCCAAAGGUCAUUGUCCGAUAUACAUGGUCAAAAUCAGCAUUGCGACGAUUGACCGCUUCUAAAUGUGCUGCAAAGUGACAAUUAAUGAAGCACAUUACCCGAUCAUAUACCCUAAUCCUCAAACCAACAGCACCCUGCACAGUCAACAAUUAGCCACACCAAUAAAAAGAAUAGCUCGAGAAGGCAUGCUGAAAAAAAGCCAGGCAGUGUAAAGAAAAGAUUUGUGAGGUAGUUACAACUUGAAUCCAAGACAUUCAAUUGAUAAGUGAAAAAAUAAUUUUUUUCCCUUUAAACAGGUAACUUUAAUCAGGCAAAGACAAACACAGUUCCUGAAAAUAAUGCACGGGCAGAACAGGCAAAGCUGUAAUUGCUCCACAGAAAGAAUAAACAAUCAUUUGGGCAUGGGAUAUGGUAAUAGAACACACGGAGAACAGGAAGCAGAGUAAUUCUGUAUUAACAGAGAACCUAUAAACUAUAAAACCUCAGCAGCAGUUCUAGUAGCUAUAUAUAUCGAAAUUUCUUCCUUGAAUAAUGGGAUGGUUUAUCUCUACAUGUCCAGCUCAUUCACAGAUAAUGUUCCUUGUCAAUGUUAAUUGUCAUCCAUUGCAGUUUCGCAGGUCCCAUGGUCAUCGGUGAUUGGAGAGAAUUUGAGAAAACAAGCUUUUUCUCGAGUAUUCCAAUGGUUUAUAAUCACAUGAUUAGAGAAGAUCUCGAUCUGUUCAUUUUUUUUUGGUAUUUAUUACUUUUAUUUUGUCGCAUGGGAUUUGUUUCGUUGACACAUUUAUUUUCUUAUACCAACGAGUACUUACAUUUUUUAUAUUAAGUGGGGUGCAUUUACAGUAUUAUAAGAAAGGAGGUUACAUUUUUCUUUGUAUUCAUGAAUUCUUUUUUACAAUGUAGAUGUUUUGUGAUUCUUACAAACAAUUUCUUUUUGAAAAUGAUAAGAGAUAAAAUAAGAUAAAAUAAUGUAAGUGGAGGUUGAUCCACUAAAACUUCUAAUUAGACAUUAAGUUGUAUUUAAUUUAAUUAUUAAGAUUUAAACAGGUAACUUUAAUCAGGCAAAGACAAACACAGUUCCUGAAAAUAAUGCAAGGGCAGAGUUGGCAGAAAGCAAAACAUGGAAAGGCAUACCUUAUUACCAAUUGCACGCCCAAAGCCACAUGGAACUGCAGCAGCAUCAACAUCCCCGACAUGAGCUUUAAGAUUAUUUCUAACCCUGCCAUACAAUUAUUCAAUUAUCAGAACCAAGAUAGCCAUUAAGGGCUGAGACGAAUGAGAUUUAAUAGAUAAGUUGCACAUGCCUAAGCUAGAACUGGAACAUAAAAUUACAGAGGGCUGACAUCACAAUCAAAUUGAAUCAAGUUAUUAUGUGGAUUCCAUUUCAGGACCAAAUUAAGCAGCCUCACUGCAUACACCCUUCACCACAACCAAAGAAAUAACCCCAAAGAAAUGAAAGGGUAAACAUAAAAAGGAAAAAUGUAAAGGGCUCAUAUUCCAAUCUUAUAAUGCUGGCCUUCUAGCGAGCACAUUUCUUUUAUACAUGCAGAUAUGCCGAUCUAACAUAAUGAACUCACUUGAAAUAUGAUUUAUAACAAUGAAAUUAUCAAUUUUAUCCAGCCAUACAAACAUCCAUUGAUGAUAAACACUAAAGGCCUAAUUUCAUAUUUUUAUCAUAAUCCAUAGAUACUGACCACAUAGCAAUCAGCAAGCCUGCUAGCUGCCGAGAACCAACACGUUCAAAUGUUGACCCUUCAUCCAAUGUUUUGCCAAUCAUAUCCAGCCACCACUGCCCAGCAGAACUGCCCUCCAGUCCAACCUGCAGUUGAAAGGAAAAAACAAAUAGCAUGAGACAGCAAAAUUGAUGAGAAAAGAAAAGCAAGGGUAAUUAUAAUAUAAGCAUAAUCAUAAAAGAGAAUGUUCAUACAAGAAGUUUAACAGCAUUGCUUUCAUUCCAAUUAUCCUUGCUUUCAUUUAUUUGAGGAAAGGUCAUUUACAACCAGCAUAUCAAAAACAUCAUAGACAACUUCAUUGUGAUGGCUGCCUAGCAAAUCACCCCACAUUGCCCUAUCCUAAAGCGUGUUCACAGUGAACAUCUGUCAUGCAUUUUAUUCAUUGCCCAACCAGCAUAUUAAUGCAUUUUAUUCAUUCCAUCAUGUACUUUUCCAAAGUUUCCAACCAUUGUUAAAGCUGAGACUAAAAUUAUUAAAUUUUUCAAAGAUCUUCAACCCAUAAAAACAACUUAACACCAUCAUUAUAUCACCUGCAACAGCUGUUUUAUUAUAUCUUGAAACAAAACAAAAAAGCAAAAAAACUUGACCAAGCUAGUAGAGUUCUCAAUGUCAUUUCUGUAAAUUGAUUAGGAGAGACAAGGUCCCUUCCGUAGCACACAGAAAAAAACUUUUGAGGGCCAUGCAAACAAAAACCCUUUAAUAGCAUACUAGCCAAGUUUAAUAAUGGAGAUGUCUUUACAGUUUCCUUAGCUGCAGACAUUGCAAGAACACCAGCACCCAUCUCAACUUCUUGCAACCCAACAACAACAAUGCCAAUGUCCCCAGCAGCAGAACCUAACCAGGACACAAGUGAGUCUUGCGAAGCUCUUCCUUGUGCUACAUUCCAUGUACCAGCCAAUAUUUUUAAAUUCUCUAUCCUUGUAUACAAAAAUUCUUUUCCAGCUAACUCUGAACGCAGUAUGCCAUCAAGGGGUCCUGGAGACAUGACAUUCCAUCCACGUAUACCGCCAUGAUUAGCCAGGGUGAAAACAUAGCCACCCCCAACAGCCAUUUUUAUUACUUGACUGCUGUGAGCCACCCAUCCUCCAACCAGAUUACCCUCAAGGUCUAACACCUGAACAGUGCCACUUGCAUAACCAACCCAUAUUUGCAAACCAAAUGUACACAAGCACUGAACAGCAACAGGAUGAUACUGGAAAUCUUGCAAACGAUUGCCAUUUCCAUCCCAUUGCACAAGCGAGCCAUUUGCACACCCAGUCCAAAUCAUUCCAUCUGUUGUUAUAAUUACCGCUUCUGUUCUCCUAUUAUCAUCUCCAAAUCCACCUUUUACAGCAACUCGACGAACAGCAUCAGCUGCUCCCAUUAUAGCAUUACGUGAACGCUGAAAGAAACCGAAUGAAGUUUGCAUUUUCUCUUUCUUUGAACCAGCAACAAUUUUCAUCUUGAUAUCAUCUUCAAAGGUUAAGUCCUGUCCUGACAACAUGUCCAGUCUUUCAAUCUGACCAUCUAUAUUGAACAUUUUCAGCAACUCCCUAGUGUGUGCAUCCCUGCAAAAUAGAUGUCUCCCCAUAAUUCAAUAUUAAUUAGUAAAAUAUAAGAAAUAUUAAUGAAAAAUAAAAUAUCCAACUCCUCUCCAACCCAAAAAUAAAUAAACAAAGAAAGAAACUGACAUAGGUCCCCAUAUCCAACUAAAUCGGUGCUGCGCAAAGUAACUAAAAAGAAAAGAUCCCCAAAACACAAUGAAGACUGGGUGAAACCAUCAGUUCCUACUAAAUCAGGAAACAGAAUCAUGAGAAAAGAGUCAAAAUAAUACAUCGGUGUGCCUCUUCUCUCUCUGCCUAUUAGCUGCCUUUACUGGGAAGACACCUUGUCUCCCUUGCAUGGUAUCCUAUUCUCAACACCUAGCAACCACUGCAACUAGUCACUUAUUUGGUAUUGAAGUUUAGUUAAGUUGUUAAAGUAAAUUGAUUUGUCACUUCUAUUCGCAUAAGAAUGCAAACACCACAGAAAUGACAAAGUUAAAUGCAAAAAUAAGAUUGAAGAAUCAUUUAGUUGGAACUUAAAGAAGACAAGCAAUGCCCACCUCAGGAAGUAGAUGUAGCAAUUCUAGUUUGUUAACAGAGAACCAUGCAAUUUGAAGUUCUACGACAAAAUAGCUAAAUGCAAAAUCCCCCUCCAGAUAGGAAGGAUUCGAGGAGAAUGUAUUAUUUAAGGAUUGCUGUAGGGUUUCAGUUUGGUAGCUGAACAAGGUCCUGGCUAAUACAGCAAAAAGAAACCCUUCAUACUAGCUCUGUCUCUACAGAGAACUGAGAAAGUCGACAUCAUGUCAGCUUACUCUCUGAAUUCUAUCAUUGGUAGAAACACCUCAGAUUGUAUUCUAUUUGGCUACUCUCAAGGCCAUUCUCCAUUCACACUGCAUACAGCCAACAUGAACAUAGAGAACAAGGUGCCAAAUGGGCUGACGAAGUUCCAAUUGUAACACCCCAAAAUUUGCAUUUGACUGUAAUUGAUGGUUUCUUUAGAAUAAUGUGAGUUUAGAGAAAAUUAGGGAACAAAAGCCAAAGAACUAAAGAAAAGAAGGUUCAAAAUGCAAUUACUAACUUAACUAGGUGAAGUAGGAUAAGUUUUGCAUGAUUAAGUAGGUGAAGGAGGACAAGUUUUGGCAUGCCAUGCUUAUGAGGUGUCAAAAGGAAGGUAGAGAUGUGCUUUCCUUCAAAAUUUUCAGAACUAACUACAUCUUUUUCUUCCAUUUCUUGAACCUAAGAGAGAGCUAAACACUAUCCUACAAACUAACACUACCAAACCAUAAAUUCCAAGAACAAAUUGUGAAGUAUUAGGGCUUAGAUUCAAUAGAAUUGUUAGGAAACAAACCAAAGAUAGAUUGUGAGUUUAUAAAAGGAAAGGAAAGAAAGUAAGGGAAAAUGGGCUAAAGCUUAAGGUGAGUGAUUAAAUUGAUAAGUACGUAUAAAUCCUAUUGUUUUAGAUGCUUUUAUGCAUGAAGAAUUUCUUUAAAUGUUUGCUGGAUUUUCAGAAUAUAAAUGUAUAACCUUAGUUUUCAAUGGAAACUUCAUAUGAUAGUUGCUAAAUAAGAGUGUGAUUGUGAAAGAUCGAAGUAUGAUGUGAUCUUUUAAAGAAAAAGCUAUGUUUUAGCCCAAAUAUUGUGUUGAUAUAACUGCACAUGAUAUGUGAAAAGAGUAAAGCUUUCUUUACAUGAAAUUGUGGCCACCUAUAUGCUACACAUGAUGUAAAAUAUAAGGGAAUGAUCAAGACAGGACAACAAGAUGUCAUAUUAGUUUAUUUACUGGACAGCAAGACAACAAGAUGUCAUAUAAGUUUGUUUACUGGACAUCAGGGUGUGUAUGCUUAUAAAUACAUGUUUGGUUGAGAAAUUUAAUUGUUUAGGUAACAAUAAGAAGCAAUUAGAGAGGUUGGUUUACUUAGCUAACUAAAAGCACAAUUCUAAAGUGAAUACAAUUAAAGAUACUAACUAAGAUGCAUUACCAAAGUAAUUAGGAGAGGGGUGGGACACCAAUACUAUGCCAUGAGAUAAUGCACAAGCCCUAGGAUCCGUAAGUUUCUUGUGAAUAAACACAGACAGAAAUUUUCAAGCUAUAGUUCUAAUAUUGGAAAAAAGGGACCAUAUCAAGAUAAACAUUGAUCAAAAUAUGAUGCGUAGCAGAAUAUUUUUAUAUUUCACUCUUUGUUUUUUUCUACGGAUCAAAUGUUAAUAUUUUUCCGGUAUACAAGUGUCAAACCAUGUUAUUUUUAAGACAUUAUGUAUUUGACUAGAACUUCUAAAACCAGUUUCAAAUCAUAUUCUACAUUUUAAAAACCAUACCAUUGUAGUGAAGUUUCUAAAGUACCGUAAGACCAAUGAGAGAGCAAACUCAAAAAAAAUCAUAAUUAGAUACUUCUAGAUACUUAUCAAGCAAAAAUAAAAUCAAAUAAACACAUACCACAAUGCGAACGACAGGAACCCAGCACUCCAGACUUUAGCCCUGGAAUUAUCAGAAAGCAAGUAUCUAACGUCGGAAUUCAAUACAUUGCUGAAUCCAUUCAUGGUCACUUGGUUCCUUAUAUCAAUAUAUGACCUCUCCACUGACAGUGCAGCCAUAUGCCUCUCUUCUGCGGUAAAUGAAAAGGCCUUUUCCAGAUCUUCCCAGGGCCAUAUCUUAAUAACCCCCCCUUCUGAUCCCGACCACAAAUCCCCUGGAAUCAAUAAUAAAAUUCAAUCAAAAUACAACAAUAACUAAAACAUUAAUCCAUAAUUUUAAACCAGUGAGAACUGACCGACCAUAACAAGUCAAGAUCAUGGUCAUGACUGGCCCGCGAUGUGCCAUCCAAGACAAGACCUCCUUGACACGACUUCGGUCCAACCCUGGACCCGUAUCCAUUUUCCAACACCGAAUUCUACCAUCUCUAUGUCCACUCCAAACAACUCGACUCCCUUCAUCACCAACCAAACACGUAACGCCCGAACCCGAAUUCAACGCCACAGACUCCUUGAACGGCGCCGUUUCAUCACUCCCGCCGUACAUUUCCUUCAAUUCCCAGACCUGAACGGCGCCGUUUUCUCUCCCACCCCAUACUUGCGUCUCGGUAGUUACAAUCGUUCUCAAAAACCGACCGGUUUGAGAUUCUCUCAGCGGAUGUGACCGAAUUUCAAGACUGGGUGGACGGUCUGGGUGAACCGCGGCUCGAACUGGGAUACGGAAAAUCCCGGUUCCCCCUCCUUUGCCAAUGAAUUCUGGUAGAGCCGGAGUUUUGUGUCUGUGGGAAACACUUUCGUUGUUGUUAGAGCUAUUAUUACAGUUGUUAUUGGAGAGUUUUCGGUCGAGGAACUGGAUCAUGUAAUCCAGGCGUUUAGUGGAGGCUUCCAGGGAGGGAUUGGGAUUGGAGGGCUGUAGAUCAUCGUCGGAGGAGGAGGAUGGUGAGGAGGAGGAAGAAAAGUAACGGUCGAAGAUCUUUGGUGUUCGGAGCGGAGGUGAGGACGAAGAAGCAUCAUCGCUGUUGGUUCGAGGAGAUGCAGAGUGAAGGGAGAAAAAAACGUCGUCCAUUUUUAUUUUUAUUUUUUAGAGUGAUACUGGUGCUGCUGUUGGUUGCUUGUAAGUUAUAACUGAAAGGAGAGAAGAGAGAAUAUAGGGAGAAGAAUCGAGGUGAGGAUGCUGUUGGGAUUUUAAGAUUUUAAGACACCGGAAAAGGAGAUAGGGGACGCGAAGAACGGACCGUGAGGCGGUCACGAAUUCACGAUCCGGCGUUGUGAUGCGGACUGUGGCACGACGCUGUGAGAUGGUGUUCGGCAACUAUGGUAGUUAAUGUUUUUUAUACUGUUUUUUGAAGAAAUAAUUUUAAAAAAACACUGUUCCUGGCACAUUUGCAAACAGUUUUUUGGAAUAGCCAGUAGUCGAGUGAUAUAGCGGUUAUGUUUUCCUUGUUUUUAGGUUUUUUCCCCUUAACGGUGAGGUGUUCUUCGCCGGUCAAUUCAAUUCGGCUGAGGUUAGGUUGAUUCUGAAUCUGUUUAAAAACAGGGGGGGGAGGGGGAGGGGGGGGAUUGUUUCUUGGGAGUAAAAUUUCGCUUGGAUUUUGGGUGUGCCUGGGAGAUCUUAUUUUUCUAUUUUUUUAAUACUUUUAAAAAAUAUUUUUGUUGAAAAAAGUAUUAAUUUUAUAUAUUUUUUAAUAUUUUAUAAGACUUUUAUUUUAUAAUAUUAAAAAUAAAAAAAUAUCUAAAAAUAAUAAUAUAUUUUCAAACAAAAAAUUAUUUUAAAAAACAUUUUAUAUCAGAAAUUUAAACAAACGUUUCACAGGUGACAGUGUGAAGAUAAAAACCAGCGAGUGAAUUUCAUAUGAGUUAAAAUUCAAAAGAAUCAAAGAGAGUAAUGUGGUACUGGACUGUUGGUGGCACUAUGUUCUGGGUCUGAUUUUUUUUUACCUAAGAAUAAAUAUCCAGUCAUUAUUAAUGUUUUUUUUUAAUAAAAAAAUAAUUAUAAGGGUAUUGAAACAAUAUGACUCGGUUAAUUGAAUAGGUUAAAAUACAACUUAUAAAGCCAAUAAAAAAUAAUUUUGCUCAUGACAAAAUUCAAGCCAACAUUUAAAAAAAAUUGUAAAAAACAAUAAAUUUGAUCUAUCUAGAUCAACUUGAGUUUACCUGUUAAAUUCACAACCUAAAUCAUGAGAUUAUGAUAACAAAUUAAAAUAAAUUAUGAAAUUCAAAUAGCAAUCAACCUAGUGUUAAAUAGUAAAAUUAAAAAAAACAUGAGUCAACCCGAUAUAACAUUUUGAAUAUACGAUCUAAGUCAUAGGGUUAGAAUAACCCGAUAAAAAAUAAAUCAAAACAAUUUACGAAGAUUUGUUUCUCAAUCAACAUAAUACUGAAUGAUGAAGUUGGGAAAAAUUAUUUAAAAAUAACUCGAGUUAACCAACCAAACUCAUGAUUCGGCCCAUGAGACCGUGAUGACCUCAUAGAAAGCAAACUAAAAAAAACAACCCAGGUUACUCUGUCAAAGUCGCGACUUCGGUCAUGAAAUCGGGAUAGCCUCAUAUAAGGUAAAUCAAAAUAAAUUACAAAACACAAUUUUCAAUCAAACCAUUGCUAGAGAAUAAAACAAUAAAAAAAUAAAUAUAAAAAAGAACAUAAUAAAACAAUUCGAUUAAACUCGGGUUAACUCACAAGAUUCAUGACUUAGAUCAUGAAACCAUGAUAAUAUAAUAGAAAGUAAAUCAAAUAACACCAAUAAACAUGUUUCAUAAUCAAUUAAAUAUUAAAUGAUAAAAUUAAAAAAAAUAUUAAUUAAAAAAAACAGGACAAACCAAAUUAACCUGUAAUAAGAAUCAUGAAACUAGAACAAUCAUAUAAAACAACAGAUGACAAAACUCAAUCUAUAAUAAACCAGAUGUUAACUAGUAAAAUAAAAUAAAUAAAUAAACAUAAAUUUCAUUAGAAAAACAAAUGUAGGAAAAAAAAAAAGCAGCAUCUUUAUAAUAAAUGAUGUUUAUGAUGUUUUGUGAUAUGACGCACCACAAAGACAACAUCUCUCUUCUUUCUUUCUCUCUUUCUUUCGUGUCAUUGUCAAUGUUAAUUUCCUGCUUUACUGCCUUGAAAAUCUGACUUGAAUGAUCAAGUUGAACAUUUUCAAAACUCUAUGAAUGCAAGGACCCUGUAGAAAUUAUAAAAUGGUGUAGGAUUUUUAAUGUAAUUUUAGACAUAAAUUAUUGAAGAUCGUAACUGUGAAAUUUAUAUGGAUAUAGUAUGUAAUUAAAAGAAACCUAGGGAUGUUGUUUUUUUUAUUAUUAUUUGAAAAGUUAUUGGCGUGUGGGCGAUUCUCGCACUAUUCAAGAGACGUGUGAAAUGUUUUUUGGUAGUCAAAUCUCAUCAUCCAUCAUCUAGAUAGUUGUGCAUACGUGGUCUCUACCACAUGAUGAGACGCAUGUAGACAUAUCAUAGUUGAAUUGCCGUUGAUGAUUGAUUAUUUGUGUUUUUUCUUUUCUUUUCUAACAACUAAAAUGCACAAUUACUUCUUAUUUGUUUAUUGUUUUUCUGGGUCUAACAUGACUGUCAGACUCAAUGCUUGUGGGUCUAGCAUGACCAUCAAAGUGUUUAAAACAUCCUCUAUAUUUUUAAUUUUUUUUAUAUUUAAAAAAAAUUGAUAGUAAUUCAUUACAAAACGCAAGUGAAUAUACUAGUAACUAAUUAUAGCUUGAACUAAAUAGAAGAACUUCAGUUUAAACUUCCUUGACAGAUUUAUGUUGGGAUUUUGGCCGAAAAAGCUAAAAAUCAUCCAUGUUUAUAAAUUAUUGGUCUUGUUUUUGUUUUUUUUAUCGUAUAGAUUUUUUUUUAACUAGAAAAAAGAAGUAGACAUAAUCAGCUUUUUAUUUAUUUUUUAAAUGAAACGUCUGCUCUACGGAAACAAUUGUUGAUCUAGUACAUGUGAUUUUAAAAGCUAAAACAAAUGUGCUUUUUGUGGCAUUUAUUUUUUUUAUCUAUGCACUGUUUAAAUGAAAAGGUUAGAUGUCUUUCCUUGGAAGACACUUUUAUCUACGCAGCUGCAACGUGUUUUUUUUAGCAAAAUUUGAUUUCUUUUUUAUUUUAGAUUAGUUUUUUUUAAAAAAAUUAAUAUAUUUUAAAAUAAAAAAUACUUUUAAAAAUAAGAUAACAAAUACUACCAAAUUCAUCAAGCGAGGGAAAAAAGAAGAUAACAAAACGAAAGAGAUCUCAAUCAGUCCAUAUUUUCUCCGUGCAUCGAGACUAAAUUGCCCAGACAUAGAUUGGACCCGUCUCUUCGCCCAACAAACAAGAAUAUCGAGAAAGGAAACAAGAAAACCGGAUUGAACUUGAGAAUGGGAAAAUAAGAAGUGGAUCCCCAAAAUCAUUCCGGGAGACAAUAAUGGUGGUGGGGCCGGGCCAAUGGGACAACGUGGGUGGUGUCAGGGACAGAGAACCAAUAAUACGAUGCAAAUUAUGCAAUGACAACGACUAUGCAGGCUGAGAAAAUCCGAAAACGAUAUGCAUUGUUACUGAUAAUAAAUUUCCAUACGUGUGAUUGGUCAACGACCAUCCAAUUUGUAGGCAAAGUUAGGUAUGAGUGCUCACAUGUUAAUAAUUCCACGUCCCUGGAAAAACUCAAUACCCCGUAUCACACUAGGCCCUGCAGAGGCCCGGUAUUUCUAUCUAUAUAACCCCUGUAACCUCAUGAGCCUUCCUUCGCUAAUCAAACCGGAAGCCCAGCCCAGCCCACUUGGUGAGCAGCUGAGAUAAGUGCGGGCAGCCCACUUCGUGAGAAGGCGAUGAAAGUUCGGGUCGGGUUUCGCCUCUUCAUCCGCUUCAUUUAACGUCCAGGAUCAUUCGUCAUGAAAAAUCAAGCUCGUUACAAAAUUACUAGUUUAUUUUCCACAUUAUCAUCACAGCUUGGAUAAAAAAAAUUAUGGAAUCUAAAAAAUAAUAUAUAGAUUGUGGAUGACUUUUCAGCAUUUUCAUCAUGCUGGUACAAUACUUAAACCCACAAAAUCUUAACCCGAUUCUUUACUUGACCCGGAUUUUAAAUCAAAUAAUUUGAGAGGUGCUCGACACCAUCUUUUCCACUAGCCAAGUUCAAUGAAAAAACUCAAGGGAGAAAAAAAUGUCAGGUUUACUCUGAUGAAUUUAUCAAAUCUACGAUCCUGCACUUAGACUGAAUUGGGUUAAAUUAUUUUUUAUUUAAUUACAUAAUAUAACAUUAAAUAAUAAAAUAAAAUAAAAACCAAUAUAUAUAUAUAUAUAUAUAUAAAAGCCAACAAAAAAAAAAGUCAGAUUGCUAGUCUAGAUCUACCACAAACAGCCAAGUAUGUGGGUCUAAGAUAAGCUCGCGUGCUUAAUUCAAUUUUAUUUUUGAUUAAUAUGAAUAUAUAAAUUAGUUUACGCGUACCUAAUAUAAUUUCUAACAUAAAAAAAGGAUGUAUGUAACUUUUUCUAGCUUGACAGUGUGGUUGAGGUUACUUUUUAAAUAAUUUUUCAUGCCGAAAUGCAUGCUAAUGAUUUUUUUUAUUUUUUAAAAAUCAUUUUUGAUAUCAGCAUAUCAAAACGAUCCAAAACAUAUAAAAUAUAUUAAAUUUUAACAAAAAAUUUUUUUUUGAAUUUUUUGAUAAACCGAGAUUCCAAACGGUAGAAAAAUAAUAACAAGUAAAAGGUGAAUUGUCGAAUAAAAUAUAAUAAUAUAUGUUUCACAAAACUCAAACUUGUAACCUGUUAUAAUCAGCACCACAAUUUGCUAUACAAAAACAUCAACAUGGGCUAUAAAGUGUGAACGAAAAAGAAUACUGGUUCGAGUUGCAAAAACAUUCCUAGUAGAUGCUAUAUUUUCAAAUUAAAUAAAAAAAAAAGGUUAAAUUAAUAUGGCAAUGGAUAGUUACUUCUUCAAACAAUUAUUAGAUUCAUAGAAACUAUAAACACACUGACAAACCUACCAAAGUGGGGAGUAUAAUUUUACGUCUACAUGUCUCGUAGUUGAAAUCAUAAUUACUCUGGUACGAUCUUUUCCGGAAUAAUAUAAUGAUUUGCCAGGAAAAAAAUAAAAAAAAAGGAAAAGAGUAGGCGGUGCACUGGUGCUUGCUUAGCCGGCGUAUGGUGACAUCCGUGCUGCCAGCACCACUAAAGAUCUAGAAAAAUGGGGUUGUGAUCUUGACAUCUAACGAAUCAGAGGGUCCGCAUUAAAGAUGGGUCCAAAACUAAGUGGCGCACGAAAGAUGGCGGGAGGUUUUAUCUUAUUGCCACUUGACAGGUCCGGAGAAUUUUAAAAUGCACUGCGUUAUUAUCUCGUUGCCACCAGUCGAGACAUACGGAGAAUAUGAGGAUGUUUGGUUUUAUGUUUUAAAAAAAUAUUUUUUAUUUAUUUUUUUAAUAUUUUUAAGUUAUUUUGAUGUGCUGAUAUUAAAAAUAUUUUUUAUAACAUAAAAAACUUAUUUAUAUAUAUUUUCAAGUAAAAAAUACUUUAAAAAACAACCGUCAUCAUAGUACCAAACAUAUUUUAAAUGGGUGGAAUACGAGAAUCCACACACUGAACUAAUUUGUUUUAUUCUAAAAAAAUAAUAAUUAGAAGAUGAACAUGUUUUCAAGGAAGUUCGAGAAAUUUAAUUGUUAAAUUAAAUUUUGAUUAAUUUAAUAAUAAAAAAUAAAAAAUAAGGUAAUAAAAUAAAAAAUAAAUUAAAAUAAAUAUUAUCCUGAGAGUUAAUAUGCGAAAUCCGUGACCCGGAUAUGAGAUAUGUCCAGAUAACAUGUCUAUCUUGCGUCCCGGAUAAUAAGACCGAGAUAACAUGAUAAAAAAAAUUAAUGAUAGAUAUAAAAAAACUAGAAAAAAUAGAAAGACAAAUAUAGAUUAAUACAUUUAAAAGCACAAUACAAGUCAUUUACCCUGUUAUUUUUAUAUUUAUUAAAAUUAAUUUGUAAUAUAAAUCAAUAAACACAUAAAAUUUAUCAAAUAAAAUAAAAAAAAACAAUAUUUUUGUCCCGCCUUUCAAAACAUGCUACAUCUCCAUAUGUUUUUUGAGUACAAAUCUAGGACUGUGCUAUUUAAAAAAAAAAAAAAACAAAAUCUCACAAUUUCUUUAAUUAUAUUCACACAUUAAGUAUUAACGGAGAAGAUUGAAUCCUGAACUUCAAGAAUAGUAGGGAAAUCUACUAUUUAUAUUAGGAUCUUGCCUCUAAAUGACACGAUAUUUAUUGCAAAGAUUUUGUUUUCUUCAAAUGGUAUCAUGUGAAUCUCAGCACAUUUAAUGUUAUAACUAUAAUUAUCCUAUAAUUAUCUAAUAAAAUGAUUUUUUUUUAAAAAAUAGACUAGCAUUUUAUUUUGCAAGAAAUCAUGGUAAAACUGCAAAUAAUAACAUCUAAAGCUUUAUUUUUUAAAAAAUUAUCAUCUCGUUACCACUAUUUUAUUAAUGAAAAAUGCAUUCAACAUUAUAGCGAUGAUUGUUUUUUAAAAUAUUUUGAAUUUAAAAAUAUAUUAAAAUAUUUUUUUUUGAGUUUAGUACAUUAAAAUAAUAAAAAAAUCAUAUAAAAAAAUCAAUUUUAAACAAAAAAAAUUAUAUUUUUGAAAAUAAUGUUUUUGCUAAAAAAACAAACAACUUUUCUAAGAGUCCAUUUUCUUCUACGUUUGAAAAAUAUUUUUGAUAAAAAAUAUUUGUUUUUGUUUUUAAUUAAUAUUUUUUAAUGUUUUUAUAUAAUACGGUGAUGUUAUAAAUAAAUUUUUUAAAAUAAAAAAAAUUAUUUCAAUAUAAUUCAAAAUAAAUAACGCUGUAAAAAUACAAUCACUGCCAUAACUUCAAGUUUGCAAGUCGACCAGAUAGAAAAUUUAAAAUCAUACAGUUACUAUAAAAUUCAAGACGCUGUAUUUUCUCUUGCACCGACGUAUAAAAAGUAGUGGUAAAGCAUGAGAAGGAAGGAGGAAUUGAGUUCAAAACCCACCUCUUUUUAGAGUUCCAAACACAUGCUAAAGAUUAAAAGCUAUGAAAAUGUCACUGUACACUCACAGGCAUUCACUAUUCACCAAAUAAAUGGUCACCUUCCAUUACUGCUUGGACCGGCAGAUUUGAAAACAAAAAUAGAUUCAGAUUAGAUUUUGGAUUUAGUAUUAUAAUCUUCUUAAGACAACAACAGGAUAGGGUGGGAGAGAGAAUAAAGAAAGAAGGAAAGCCCAUCUCACAUCAGUGCUUCUCACGCCAGAACAAUCACUAACUUCAUUCUGAAAAUGUAACAAAAAGGAAACAUAAAACAACUUCUCUGUCAAUCCCAUUAUCUUGAAUUUUAUAGCCCACCACAACCCUCUUGUCCCCUUCUCUUCACCUCCCAAGAUUCUCUGUUUUUUCUUUUCUUUUUAUAGCGCCAGGAGUUGAAUAUAGACCAUACACUGAUACAAAUGUAUGUAGUGUGUGUCUAUAUAUCUGAACUUCAAUCUUGAUUCUGUUUCUUGGGUCUCUUUUCUUUUCUUUUUCAUUUUGUUGGAAAGAUAGAGAUGGGGUUGAAAAGUGCUUGGUUAGUGGUGGUGUUUAUGUUUCUUGGGGUUGCUGUGGCAAAGAAUGUGAAUGAGUUGAAUUUAUGGCCAAUGCCGAAGUGGGUGAGUAGAGGGCACAGCAGGGUUUACAUGAGUCAAGAUUUUCAGUUAGUUACUGAUGGGAGCAAGUACAUUGAUGGCUCUGAGAUUUUGAAGGAUGGCUUUACAAGAAUGCUUGAUGUAGUGAAAGUUGCUCAUGUUGUUGAUGGUGAUCUUUCUAGCGUAGACAAGUCUCUCAUCAUUAAAGGAAUUCAUGUUCUUAUUUUCUCACCAGAUGACCAGGUAUGGUGUCAUUGGUCAUCAAUUAUCUUUCCAGUCAGAACCUUUUCUUUUCUUUUCUGAUUAUUACCUGAUCAGUUCAUUCACACGGGCCUAAAGAUUAAUGUUUAAAAGUCUGGGAAUGUGAUUCUUCUGAGCUAGGCUAAGAAGAAGUCAUUUUCUCCUUUUCUUUCCACUUGUAUAAAAAGUUUCAUUAUCACCGCUGACAACUUUUUUUAAAAGUUGUUUUUUUUCCCGAUCUAGAAAUACAAAGUGAUGUGCAAUUUGAUAAUCCUUUUGUUUUAACUUAUUUUUCACUAAAUACAACAAUUAUUAGGAAGUAAUCAAGUAUGAGCUGUAGCUAUCAUUAAGUUUUAUUUACAAUAAUCAAGGCUUUUUUUUUUUUUGGCAUUUUAGAUGAAAUCUGGAGAGCUCCUUCCUUUAAUUUAGAUUAAACAAAUGCUCUUUCUCCCUGUAUUGUGGUGUGCUUUUACAGUUACAAUAUGGUGUUGCCGAGUCAUACAAACUGCUGGUUCCUUCACCAGAGAUGCCAGAUUACGUCCAUCUUGAGGUGGGUGCAACCGCUACCUUUUGUCUUUGUAGCUAUAUUGUCUAACAACUUACACCUGUCCAACUCAAUUGUAAUAAGUUUCUUUCUCAAGGAAGAUGUUCAAAUAGUAAGACUUGAAAGAAAAUGCUACUGGAUUUUGUCUGGCAUUUCCUAAAAUAGUUUUCAUAUAUUUAUGUUGAAAUGUAGCUUUGAUAUAUUUGGAUGUGCCAUAUAGCCAGCGCAUUGACAAAUGUUUCCAGUCUCAAUCUUUUGGACGAGGGGAAUGAGUCUCAAAGGAAUUAUUCGUUGUCCUAUCUAGAUUAGUGAACUUAAAACCUAGUAUUUGCUUACGAGACGGGUCAAGCAUGCAUUGUAGAGAACUAGUAACAUUAAAUCAUGUUUUAUAAAAUCUUCCACUAUCAUGAUUAUAAUCAAUUAUGGAGUGGGACCUUGCUGAAGCAUGGUUGUUUUUUUCAUAAUUUUUGAACUAAUGUUCUGUAGAGGCACCAAAUCGAUACAUUUAAUGGUCAAUGCUGAGUUUGGUCUACAUCAGUAAGCUUUGAUUCAUGUAAAUUGUUUGAUCAAUUCAAAUUCUGUUUGGCAACAUUACAGGCGCAGACUGUUUAUGGGGCGUUACAUGGGCUUCAGGUUUUAUACUAAUCCUUAAGACAUGAAAUUGUAUCUCUUUUGAUAUUCCUACCAAGUUCAAAAUUGUCUAAGUUUGACAUGACAUUAAAUUUUGCAGACAUUCAGCCAAUUGUGUCAUUUUAACUUUACAACUAGACUGAUUGAAGUUCACAUGGUCCCUUGGACUAUCAUUGAUCAACCAAGAUUCUCUUAUCGAGGGCUCUUGAUUGGUGAGUUGUUUUCUGCAGUCCUUUUCUGUAAUAUGUUUAGUUUACUUUUGAUGUAUAUGUCUUUCAAAGCCCCAGCUGAGGGCUUUAUUCCAUGUACUAGCUUCUGGUUUGAUAAGGUUGGCAAUUAAAACUGAAGGUUUUGAUGGGAAGAAAGUUUACUUCAUGUGAAAUGGGUCUGGAGGGCUAUCCCAAGCUGACAUAGGGCCAUUUGAAAAGCUUGAUGCCCAAUUGUUUGGUCGAUUCUGUUUUUAUAUCUCAAAUCCACUCUGUAUUUUCAAAUUCUAAUGUGCUUGUCUGACUUACAAGUGGAAUUUGUGCAGAUACAUCAAGACACUAUCAGCCAGUGCCAAUGAUUAAGAAAGUAAUUGAUUCUAUGGCCUAUGCAAAAUUGGUAUGUGAUGCAUAGUUAACUAAUCUGUAGUUGAGAAUCUUUUAGAAUAUUUGGUGAAAUAACUACAUAUUUGUUCUACUGUUUGCUGGAAAAUAAUCAGUGGUAUUUUGCUUUUAGCAUUAUAGGUAUAAGACUUUUCAUGAUCGCAUUUGUCGAGGAGUAUCAUCCCUAUUUCUGUUCAUAACCAUUUGCUAGGAUUUAGUUUGCCUGGAUUAGCUUCUUCCUCUAGAGGGACAGCAAUGAAGUUUGGGAAAUCUUGCAUCCAUAAAAAGGAUAGGAAAUAGUAAUUUGUGCAGCAGUGUUUAAGCCUUGGAUCUUGCACUAGUAAACCUAUCCAACAUGAAAUGAGACAGAAAUUUGGCAACUGUCGCUUAAAUUACCUGUCUUCCCUCCUUUUUGAACAGCAAAUGGUGUUAACACAACAAUUUACUGUAAUUAGCAGUUUGCUGAUACGGUUUACUUUGUAACAAGAUGUAAUGUUGUUUCACACUGACCUUACUUCGAUUUUUAUCAUCUAGCCUGUUGUAAGAACUCAGAUAGCUGUGGUAUUAAUCAUCUAGCCUGUUGUAAGAACUCAGAUAGCUGUGGUAUUAACAGAAUUAGUCUGUGAGAAGUGGAUUUUUCUUGCAGAAGGUGUUAGCAGGUCAAUAGAACUAUUGAAAAACAAUACCUGUCAUUGGCCUUUAUGAUUUUAUUCUGUUGCAUAUGCAGAAUGUGUUGCACUGGCACAUUGUAGAUACCCAAUCUUUCCCUUUGGAGAUACCUUCAUAUCCACAUCUGUGGGAUGGGGCUUAUUCAGUUUCAGAGCGGUACACCUUUUCUGAUGCUGCUGAAAUUGUGAGGCAAGUGAUUCUGCUGUCUUCACCUUCUACAAACUUAUUGUCUAUGUAGUUGUAUCAUCUCUAAUAUGUCAAGAAAAAAUUUGCAGUUAUGCUCAAAGGCGAGGAAUUAAUGUAUUAGCUGAACUUGAUGUUCCUGGACAUGCUCUCUCAUGGUAAUAGUAACAUUCUUAUAUAGCGGUUUUCUCUGUUGUCUCAGACUCUCAGUUAUAUUCCUUUCAAAAAUUACUGUGCAUGUAUCUAUGAGAUCAGGAUGCAAACUUUUAACCCCAAAAAUUGACACUUGGUCAUUUAAAAAAAGAAUCUUAUCCUCUUCAAGUGAAUAAUGGCAGGAUUUGAAUUUCUGAUCAUUCAUGGCUUCUGCAAUAGCUACAGAAAAAUUCCCAGGAAAAGACUUUAUAGAUCAUGACUGGCUGAUGUAAUGACUGCCAUGUCUUUCCAGGUGUUGGGGGGAAUAUUUAUAAAGCUUUCUAAUUUAGUUUUUGCAAGAUGCUAGAUAACAACAAUCUAUAUUUUUUAACGGAUAGAAUUUAAGAAUUCAUUGGAAUUAUCACAGAAUUAGGUAAUGUUUAAUCCAUGAGGAUGUGUAGAACAUUUUUUCAUAAGUCAAUAUGAGAAGCUGCCAUUGGUCACUUGACUUGAUGAUGAUGUAUCUUUCUGUUUACCUGUAUGAUUUCCCUAUUAGAUCUUCUUCCUCUCAAACAAUAGAGUUGGGUACUUAUAACACCCUGCCAACUUGUAUCCAAGAAAACUGCUUGUUUUCGAAAGUUUUGAGGUUAUAAAGAUGUUAUUUUAUGAUUAAUGCUGGCAAACCAAAAGGUUGUUUGUAGCUCAUGGAUCUAUUGCAGUUAGCCUCAGUGAACUUUCUGCAGAAGUGAUGAAUGCUAAUGGUUUUCAGGGCCAAACACGAGAAGGAUUAAGGGCUAUUGUCUAGUGAUAUCUGGUGAAAGUCUAGGUUGGUGACCAAGGCAUUGUAGAUAUGAGGCCUGGGGCUAGCCAUUUGAUGCAGAAUGCUGCAGCGCUGAAUCAUUUUCAGAGUUCCUUUCCUAGGAUUGUACUUCUAUGGGACCACAAAUGGGCAAGCCUUUAUGGCUAACUCAGACUUCGGUGCAUAGUUUAGAUCGUCAUGAAUUUGUGACAUUGUAUUUUGAAAACCUAUGGCAAGGCGGGUUCUGUAGGUUUCCCUUGUUGCCCAAAGAUGCAAACUCACAAAAACAAUAAAAAUAUUUGACGUUUUCCAUUUCUUUGCAAUAUGGCCAUUAUGAUAGAAUGGUAUCACAAACUAUGAUCUCCAAAUGAAUUAAAUGGAUAUUUUUCCCCUGUAAUUAGGGGGCAUGGCUAUCCUUCUCUAUGGCCAUCAAAAGACUGUCAGCAGCCACUUGAUGUCAGCAACGAGUUUACAUUCAAAGUGAUAGAUGGGAUUCUUUCAGGUAAUGCCUGUACUUUCAAUUUGGAACAGUGUGGUUUGAUAUCAAUAAGUUGUCAUGUCAGAAGACUAAGAAAAUAUAUAUAAAUUUGCAAGUUAGCUUAAUUUGGGUGAAAAACAAAAAUGAAAGGAUGAAUGGUUAACAUGAUUACUUUUUUCACGUUCAGAUUUCAGUAAGAUCUUUAAAUUCAAGUUUGUUCACUUGGGAGGUGAUGAAGUUGACCCAAGUAAGUUUAAUAGUUAUAUUUUGCUAUCAUCAUUUUUGUAUUGAUUGUUUAUUGUUUAUGGAACAUUUAUUAUUAUUAUUAUUAUUUUGUUUCUUGGCCUCUGGGGAUUUUCUUUCCUUUUAUCAUAUCUUUUCUUCUUUUAUUUUCGGGUGUAUGUGUUGAAACAUGAUAUUUGAUGUUAAUGAAAAUAUAGGGGCCACAGGUUACUUGCUUCUGCUUGCUCUUAAUUUUUGAAAUAUAUAUCUGGAUGGAGCUUCACAUUAUUGACAUGCAACUGUAUGAGUCCUUUUCAGGUUGCUGGACAAAAACUCCCCACAUAACAAAAUGGUAACAAUCCCACGAAUUCUACAUGCAAAGUAACUGAUGUUUCUUUUCUUUUCUUUUCUUUUUUUUCUGUAGACACCAAGUAUAUCAUGUUAUUAUCUUCGUGCUUGAUGUCCACAACCAUAUUUUCCUCCUUUUGUAGUUAAUCCAAGUGGAUUUACGUGGGUACUGUGUGCUUGCUGUACAUGACAUCACCGUUACAUUCUAUGCCAAUGUUAUUUUAUGAUUACUGCUAUUAUUGGAUUUCCUGAGAAAUAACUAGCAUGCCAGACUCACAGCUAUUUCUUUUAGUUUUAGUUUUUCUCCCAUUCCAUGUACCUUAAAAGAGCAUGCAUUUGUAACAAAAGAGAGAGGGCAUGUAAAUUGUAUUCGUAUUGUAUGUUGUUUGACCUUGACAUGAUCAAGAUACUGUCUAUUCUGAAACCUGCAGGUUAAAAGAGCAUAGAAUGAAUGGAUCUCAAGCUUAUCAGUACUUUGUCUUGCGGGCACAGAAAAUAGCUUUGUCCCAUGGAUUUGAAAUUGUUAACUGGUACGAACAAUUCUGGAUAAGGUUAGAUGUCAAAUUUCAUUGGUUUUAUAUCUUAUCCAAUCAUGCAAUGUAACAGGGAGGAGACCUUCAAUGACUUCAGAAAUAAAUUGAGCCGGAAGACAGUGGUGCACAAUUGGUAUGCCAUACUUUCUGCAUAAUUUCAUAAAAUGACCUUGUCAUGAUGCAUCUUAACAUGGCCACCCUGUAGAUCAGUAAAUGAACAAAUAUAAGCAUCAUUUAUCCAUGAUGCAACCGUCUAUUUGCUUGUUGGACUUGUAGUAUUGAGAGACUAGAAUCAAGAUUAUACAAAAAAUGGGAAAAGCUCCCCUGUGCAGAAUGUGAAUUUUGGUUAAUCGAUACAGCUAAACUUGACUUGAUAAGGGUGUUAAGAUGUUUUAGUCCAUCUGCAAUGCUAAUUGUGACAAGUAAUUUUUAUAUGUAGUAGUUGGUAAAGAGUGUCGAUCUCGCUACUAUUCAUUCUCACUACUUGCAUGUUUGCUAGUUCUGAAGAGUGACAUCUGGUUCACCUGGUCCAAGUCCAUUAAUGUUUAGAUGAAAACUUCAGGAACUCUUUCUCUCUGUGAAUUAUUGUUGAACCAAUUCACAUAUUGUAAUCACAAUUAAAAUUACUUUAGAUAUUAGACAAUCAGUGAACAUUGUUGAGUUAAUUACACUAUGUAAACAAAAAUGUUCUGGACUCCUUUUCCACCAAGCAAAUAGAUCUUAGAGAUGAUUGUAUUUGCACUGCUAUAAUAAUUUUGUUUGUCCUUACAUUUCGGGCACACUUGAUCUUUAGCAUACAAUGUUUUUUGCAGGCUUGGAGGUGGAGUUGCUGAGCAAGUGGUUGCAUCUGGGUUGAGGUGCAUUGUGAGCAACCAGGACAAAUGGUAUCUAGAUCACUUGGAUACUCCUUGGGAAGAGUUCUAUAAGAAUGAACCACUUACAAAUAUAACAAACCCCGAGCAACAGAGUUUAGUUCUUGGGGGGGAAGUAUGCAUGUGGGGAGAAACAGUGGAUGGGUCAGACAUUGAACAAACCAUAUGGCCACGUGCUGCAGCUGCUGCAGGUAUUUAUUGUAUAUCAUGUCAAUUGACAACGAAAUUGCUGAGACGUUGCAACAUAUUCAUAUUAAGUUAUGCAGUUUUCUUGUUUUCAAUACUAUGUAGUUGCGUGAUGGUCAUUGAAAAGGAUUGUACAGUGAGGCAAACAAUAAUAUAAAUCUGAUUUCAUAUUAGCUUCCUAGUCACAUAAAUUGGUCACAAUCUUGGUGAAUUUACUACUGUUGAGCUUAAGGGUUCAUGAAACUAUACGCUUUGUGGAUGUUUCUGUGUAUUAAGAGAUCUGCCUUUCCAUCCCAAAGGUGGUUUUAGUUGAUACAUGGUUAUCACUGCUAACAUUCAUGGACCAAGGCAGGUGACUGGUAGUCUCAUUUGAAGAGGUACCAGAUGAUGCCUUGAGUGAUUUUAGAGUUGACUAGUUUUGAUCCUUUUUAGAAUCCUCUUAGAGGUAUUUCUUGAGAAACUUUUUCAUCAUUAUAGUAGAGAUAAAAACUUCUAACUGUACAUCUUUCUUCCCUUUGUUUUUAAGCUCAGCAUCUCAAAUCUUCCAUUUUUUUGUAUCUGCUCUCUACUCAUCUCAAUCUUUCUAUGCAAACUGUAUCUUCACUUUAAAAUAGCGAUUUUAUUCUCUCUGUUUUCUGUUCCUAUGUGAUUGAAGAGCGGCUAUGGACACCUUAUGACAAGCUAGCGAAGGAUCCAGAAAAAGUUGCUGGAAGGUUAGCACACUUCAGGUGUUUGCUGAAUCAAAGAGGGGUUGCCGCAGCUCCUUUAGCUGGACCAGGCCGAGGAGCACCUAUAGAACCAGGUUCUUGUUAUGGACAGUAAUGACUACAAACACAUCUCUAAUUCUUGAGGGUGAAAUGCAGUUGAUUCAAAAUCACCCCCGUAUGUAAGGAACACGUAAUAAUGCAUCCUGGAUAUAUUCAGGUGGCUUCUGGUUCGAUUUUUAUGAAAAUGGUCCAAAAUGGUCUCACAAGGUCUCUCAUGUCUGCCCAACUAAGUCCCUUCGUUCUUGAAGUGUUUGUGGUUGAAUCGUAAAGGAGACUUGCAAGGGAUUUCGAGUGUUUAUGGUGAAGUUUUUUCUUUCUUUUUUUUCCCUUUGGCACUUAUCAUAUUUGACCCCAAAAAUCAUUAAUUUGAACGGUUGAAAUUUACCUUGAAAGAUUAGUUCAUAACUUACUCAAGGAUUGCGCUUGAAAUUUGUUUAAGAAAAAUAAAUAAAAAUCAAGUUUUAAUUAUUGAUUUUUACUCAGAUUUCAUUAAUGGAAGAAUUAUGAAAGGAGAAACUCGAAGCAUUUUUUUAUCAUAUUUUAACCAAUAAUAUAUGUUCAAGGUAUCUUGUCGAAAGUAAUUUAUGAAUUUGGGGAAUAAAGUAACUUCAUACUCAAGGAAAAUAUGCUAUAUUGCCAUGGAAAAUCUCCCUCAAGUGGUUUCUUGGGUUUGAAGAACAGAGUUGGAUUUAAAUCUUAUACUGGCAAGGAUUGAGAAUCUCCAAUGAACCCCGGAAAAUUAUAAACUGUCCAAUGCAUUUGACACUCGACAAUUCCUGGACUACAAUAAAAACUUUCCCAGUUUACCUGAAUUUCAGAGAACACUAAAUCGUUUAGCCACCGAACAAAUUGAAGAUUGUGAAGGACCAAUCUUUUUAGUGAAGAUAGAUUGGUUUCAUGUCUUUCAAAUACUUUCCAUUUAGUGAAAGGCAGAUUGAUUGAGCAUAUUAUAUUCCACAAGUUCUUCAAAUACAGUACCCAAAUCAGUUGGUCAAUUGUGAAAUUAAGCCAGUUCAGUAUAAUCACUUCCACAGAAACAUUUGCAGUGACAGUUUAGCAAAGCAAAAGUUUGUUUAGAAGAGCAAGUAUCAUGUAACAUGAAUAUCCAGAUGUCGCACAGUUGUGAACGUAUCAGUAGUGUUCUGUGAUGUAUAAACAUGAGCUCGAUAAAAAAAACUUCAAGAAAAUCUCAAGAAUUCUAUGAUGUAUAAACAAAAGCUCAAGCUGUUGGAGAUUAAUUUUUUAGCAGCUCAAGGCUUCCAAGCUGGAGGAGAUGGAGGGCUUGGAGGGUAGAGCGGUGGAACUGCUGUAAAGAUUGAAUUCUUAUCGAUGCCAAUCCCACCACUGCUUGUCAAGGAUGCAAGCGCAGCAACUAGUCCUGCAUUUCCAGCUAAAGUUGGUUCGGUAAAGUUGUAAUUAGUGCGAACAUCACGGAACUGGUCAAACCUAUCAGGCCCUCCAACCAUGGCUCCUGUAAUGUUGUGAGGAUUGGGCUUGGAGCUGUCACGCCACUUCCAUCCGCCUGUGCACGAAUACCUUGUUUUGUCACUGGGUGUUGAUGCUCCACGGUGAUGAACAUGCCUGGGAAACUUGGUCCCAUACCCCACCACAUAGCUCAUUUUCAUGGGGUUAUCACCUAGAAUGUAGUUGAUCUGUGUUGAAAACAAUCACGGGAAGAUUAGUCUACUGGGAGAUAAAAAGAGUGCAUGAGGCAAUUUCAAGAAGAACAACUGUAUUUUGUGGCUGAGGCAUAGCCUAAUUGAUAUUAUAACAUCCGUCUGAAGAGGAGUUACGAAAGUUGAAAUUCUCCUACCCAAAAACUAACAAAUGAUUUGGUGCCAAUCUGAAACUGGCCAGCUUUCUAAUUAAAGUAUGAAAACACGAAGCUUGUUGCAUGGUAUAUGACUCUGAUCAGCUGUGUAUAUCAGCAGUUCUUUCUUUAACCAAUUCCUACUCUGGGACUGCCUAUUAGAGUUGACUUGGCAAUGUCGGAUAUUUAUCAGCUAGCAAGUUAGUCUAUCCUGAAACAGAAAGAUUCAGAAGAAAAGGCUACCUGUGACGUGGCGAAACUCCGAAGAAGGUCCAGUGAGAUAAAUUUGGGACCACAAUUGAGUCCUGGAACUCUAGUGGCAUUCAGAUAAUCGACAUAGAGUGAUGCUAAGAAGGCAGCAUUAGCCACAUACUGAAGAGGUUGUGGCGUUCCAUGGUUCAGUUGGAUCAUUCCUCCUGCAAAAUUUUGAAAACACAUCAGAAAAACCACCAAAAAAAGAAGAGAAAGUUAAAAUUACUGGCACGUGAUCCAUUGAAGCAAAUAGUAUCACUUAGUCACAUGGUUAAAGAGCAAGAUCCGAUGUAUGUACCUUUAGUCCAGUUGAAUACAUCGAAUUGCUGAAAAUAAGAACACAUGUUAAGUUCUGUCUUUUGAUGAUACAUAUGCAACAUCUCCUCAUAUGGAUAUCCUGGAUUCAAGAAUAUCCUGUACCUUGUUAACAGCAGCAUAGCUGCUGGUAACUUGUUGUCCCAACUCAGUACACUCAAGUCAGGAAUACUUAAAAGUGCUUUGGAGUGCUUAGAGAAGCCUGGUUCAGUUGCCAAUUUAAUAUAGGUGAUGUUUCCUGUGGCGUAGUACAACCAAGUAGCACCCCAAAUGUACUCAUCAUAAUAGCCAGUGGAGUUGUAGUAAGGUUGAAUGUAAUCAUUCCCAGAAGAAUAUGCUCCCCGUCUUCCACCAUCCCUGGCAAAGUCAUAUACUGUCACUGCACCUCUUACAAGCUUUUUUGAAUAGGCCUCAUUGUCUCGGAAUACUAUUGAGGCUGCAGCCAAGGCUGCUGCCAUUUCUCCGGCAAGGUCAGCGCCUGAAUUUACAACUUGGGUAGGCCUCGGAUAGUCCAUAUCUUCAGGUCUUUGCCAGCAGUAAUGAUCAUCUGGAAGUAUCGAGCCAUUUCGAGAUCCACCAACCUGGGGGACAAACACGGAAAUGUUACACUAACAAGCAACGGUAUAAUGGCUUUGAAGUCUUAAUAAAUGGAAAUAUUGUCAGGUGCACAUAACGUUCAUUCUGAAUUAAGAAUAUUACCUGGCAGUAAAUUUUGUCAAUUUUGCUGGCACUGGAGUUGAAGGUUAAUAGCAAGUAAUCAGUACCCCACCUGAUUAGAUCUCUGGUAUGCUGGUACUCGCCAAUGGCCUCAUACUUCUGUCUGUAUUCAAUGACACUCCAGCUCAACAUAGUCAUGGCAAAUGCCAUGGGAAAAUGAAACUUGGUGUUGUCUCCAGCAUCAUAGUAUCCUCCAACAAGACCUGCUUUAGAAAAAUCAGUACCAUUUCCAUCUUGUAGCCCUGAAUCUCCUCUCCAUGGAAUUCCGUUGUUCUUGUGCAAUUUACCAGCUGCACACCACAUUCAAUGAUGGUACUCUCAAUCAACACUUGUCAAUUCUAUAAUAGAACUUCAGUGCACAGCCUACCAUUGGCUAAUUAUAAAUCAAACUGUUCUUCGAAAUUGUUUUUCAGCUGGUGAGUACUACUAAUUCAAUAAUUUAUUAAUUUCUAUGUAAUACAUGCCAACAUUUGUUUUAUUGUGAGCAAAAAGUAAUUAAUUAGAUUUGUUAAUGGUAAGAAAAUAAAAAAUAAAACAAGCUGCUAAUAAUCUGCAGAUGGGAUCGCAAGAUCCUGUCGAAACCAACGUUUUAUUUUUUGAUCUAUUCGAAACACAACAUGUAUAUGAAAUAAAUUAUCCCAACUAAUAACUAAUAAUUUAGAGAGGUAUAGUUCAACUGCUCAAACUCUAAAUUUGCUCCAUAAAAAUUCUUAGUUUGAGUCUCACAAAUUUCAGAGUCACUGGAGACUUACAUGGCCGUUAACUUCAGGGCCCGUAAAAUUAGUUGAGGCACACGCAAGCUGACUUGAACAUUCAUGUUAAUAAAAAUAAAAUAAAAUUAUCCCAACUAAUUAAAUAACUUUACAUAACAAUUUUCAUCGGAAUGACUUGGUCAUCGAAUUCCCAUCUUAGAGUGUCUUAAUUAGUAGUAAAACUCUAAGCUUCUUGAAAGCCAGACUUUCUUGGAAGUCCAAAGCUUACAUAGAAAAUAACAAGAUUUUAAUGUACAUAUGUAAAGAUAAUGAAAUAUAUCUUUUUUCCCAUUCAUUUUCAUCAAUAAUUAGGAUUGAUAUCAUAAUAAUUAUUUAAUUUGUUAUCAUAAUAAUUUGAAAUAUCACUUUUGAAAAUCACUCGGUAGGCCACAAUUACUACAGAACUAACCCUCUAAGCUCGGAAAAGAAAAAAAGAAAAAGAAAAAGAAAAGUAGUGACGUUUGACUUGACUUACAUUUUUGGGCAUUGAAGAAGAGAAGAGCCUUUCGGAGGGCAAGAGUGUAAUUGUCUGGAGGAGGAGGCUUAGAGUUGUGCUUUGGCAAAGUCUUGACUAGGAUGAUAGGGAGUGCAAUAACAAGAAGCGCAAAAACAAAGGCAUAGAGAGUCCACUUCAAGGCUUUGUGGCUACAGGCUACGCAACCCAAGUCUACGUGCUUCUUUUUCUUGGUCUCUUGAGGGUACAAUAACCAGCUCUGUUGUGUCUCGUCUAGAUGAUGAUGCUGGGGUUGCAAGGCUGCCUUGUCCCACUCCAUGUUGCGACUCUUCUCAUCGUCGGUUGUUGAUUCUGCUCCAUUGUAAAUCUCCAGCGACCCCCCCCAAUGAUUUGCUGAAUGCAUUUUUCUUGUUUUCUUUUCCUUUUCGAGGUUAUGUUUCCAGUGAGUGCAAUAACAGUUAUUCUCCCUUGCUGUAACUCAUGUAAGUAAAGGUGGUGGAGAAAGAGAGGUCUGAUGACCAAAGAGGAAUCGCAGAUUGUUGAUGUAUUUGAUAUAACAGAUGACUGAAAAGAAGAAGAAGGGGGCUGGUUAUUAUCUUGUAGGCAGGGAAAGAGAAAGAGGAAGAUAUAUAGAUGGCCGGCCACUGAUUACCAGUUGGAAAUGGCUUAUAAAAGUGAUGAAUAUUGAUGAUACUGGAAGAAACCAAUAUUCUCUAUGGCAAGAGAAGUUUCUCGGGGGAGAAAAAACUGGCCUCUCUGUAUCCCAGCCUCUCUCUCUCUCUCUCGCAUCAUUCUCUGGCAUAUAUACUAGUCUACCAGCGUUAAUUGAAAUUCAAGGGCUCGAAUGGGAGGAGAGGGAGAGAGAGAGAGAGAGAGAGGAGUUGACUAUGACUAAAUAAAUCUAACAUGGUUGCGGUGCUUAUUCAGAGAUUAAUUUAAUCCAACUGUGAUAGAAAAUUGAUUGCCUUGUUUCUUCUGCAUGGAAGAACUGAUGCUUUUUACUGGGGAAAAAUAUGCAUGCUUAGCUGUUAUGAAAAUGAGAUGGAACCUUCGUUUUGGAACUUUAAUUGAAAGGAUAUAUAUGUCAAUUACUUUUUGAAAUAUAUAUAUAUAUAUAUAUAUAUAUAUAUAUCUGGAUUUUUGAAGAAUGAGAUAAUAUAUGUGGUAAUGCUUUGAUCCCAUGUCAAGGGAUUUUCUUUAGAUUAAUUUACAUGUCAAUUAAAGAUUAAAUCUCGUUUUUAAAUAACUUCGGAGACAUAUUUUUUUCUAUCGUGCAAAUAUCAGCGAAGAAUUUAAUAAUUAUUUCCAAUUUUAUUUUCUGCAGCCGGAUCUUGUUGACCAAUUCAUUGGGUGGUGUCUGUCUGUCUGUCUGUCUGGUCUGGCCACGCAGCCAGCACCCUUUUCCAUUUUUCACUCGUAUGCUAAUAAUACUCUCUCUCUCUUCGCUGGUUUUUUUUUUAAUUUAAUUUUUUAUUCAAACCCGUUGUGUCCCUCGUGUUUCUCUCGUUUCUUCAUUUGAUUACGUGGCUUUUAAAUUAAACCCCCAAGUCGAAUGUGCAUGCACGUUACUCUUUUUUUUUUUUUUCCAACUGUGGUAUCAGAUUAGCUUGUACAUGUCUCUAGAUAAAUUUUUUGAUAUCAUAAAGUUGAUAAUUACAUAAGUUUUCAAUAAUAUUCAAAUUAAUAAUUUUUAAAAAAUAAAUUUAAAAUCUAAUUAAUUAAGCUAUACCUUUCAAAAUUUAAAUACAUGUUACUUAUUACCGGCUCUGAUUCUUUGAUAUAGAGAAAUAAUAUUUGAUUUUUAUAGAUUCUCGUAAUUAAGUAUUUCAAUUUUAAUUUUCAUUCAACAAUUGGGUUGUUCAUUGUUUUUUUUAAUGAUAAUACAACCAAAUAUCUCAGUUAAUAAAUAUUAAGAAUUUACUCAUCGCAAAAACAAAAAAAAAAGAAAAAAAAGAGAGAGAAAUUGAUGUCGCUCUAGAAUGUCACCAUCGAUUAAAUAAAAAGAGAUAUAAUCACAAUUUUGUUUUUAUGCUCACAACUUCUUUUAAAAUGUUAGAGAAUAAUAUAAAUUAUAUCUUAGAGCAUCACCUAAUAAUUUAAACUUUCGAAUUGAAUUGAUUUUUUAACAUGGUAUCAGAGUCUUGAUGACCAAACGAUUUGACUAAUAUAAAUCAUAUUUUAAAGUUUCAUCUAAUAAUUUAAGCUUUUGAGUUGAAUUGAUUAUUUAAUAAAAAAAAAAACAUUUUAAACUUGAAAAAACAAAACCCAAUUCAUCUCAUGGAAAUAUGCUAAAUAACGAGAAAAUACUUCUGUUUUUUUUUUAUUCUAAUAUGGACGCAAAAAAAAUAAAAAAUGUUAUGAUUCUUUAACUUAGUAAAAAAAAAAAAAACCCAGAAUUCAAGACUGUAGAGAUUAGCUAUAACUUGCAGUUCAGGACUAUAUAAAUUAAUUAUAAAUCAUUUUCCUUGAAAUAAUUGGCCUAUAGAGCUUUAAAAUCUCUAUACAGUGCAUUAUUUGUAAUAAACCAAGAUUUAGAUAAAAUAAUUAAAGAAAAAAGGGUAGGGACCGCCCGAGGGGAGAAUGUUCAACUUGGCGGAGGAUUUUAACAUACUCUUUUUUAGGCCCCGUUUGUUUACUGAAAAGUAGUUUUUUUUUUGAAAAGUGAAUCCCAGGGAAAGUGAAUUUUGAAAAAGUAUUUUCUGAUAUUUGGUAGUGUAAUGAAAAAUAAGUUGGAAAAUAUUUUCCAGUGUUUAGUUAUGUCAUGAAAAAUGAGCUGGAAAAUAACUUAUUAAUGUUUUAUUUUUCUCAAGUUUAUUAAGAUAAUGAGGAACAAAUCUUACAAAUUAAAAAGUUGAAUGAGAAUGAAAUUGAAAAAAAAAUAUAAUUUCAUAAAUUAUCUCAAAUAAAAUAAAUAAUAAUCAAAAUAAUAGAGAUCAUAUCUAAAAAAUAAAAAAAAAAUGAAAGAUGAAGGAAUUAAAAUAAUAAUAAUUAACAUUUCAUAAAUUAUUUCAAAUAAAAUAAGUAACAACCAAAAGAAUGAGGACCAAAUUUGAUAGAUAAAAAAUUUCAAUAAAAAAAUGAUAAGGAAAAAGCAAAUAACAAUUAUAAAAAUAAGGACCAAAUUAAUAUAAAAAUUAAAUUUUAAGAGAUGAAAUUAAAAAAUAAAUAUUCAAAACAAAUUAUAUAUAGCAAUCAAAAGUUUGAGGAUCAAAUUUGAUAUAAUCAGCAAAUAAUGAUAUUUUUAAAUUUUUCACAACUUCCGGAAAAUGUUUUCCGCCCAAAUUUUCCAGGAAAACACUUUCCUGAAAACCAAGCCAAAUUUUCCUUUGACUGAAAAGUGUUUUCCGUUGACCAACUUUUCUAGUGGCAAACAAACACAAGAAAGUUUGGAAAGUGGUUUCCCGGAAACCACUUUUCGGAAAACAAACACAGCCAAAAAGAAAAACACUUUUCUGGAAACCAAACCAAAUUUUUUUUUGAUUGGAAAGUAUUUUUCGUUUACCGGAAAGUGUUUUUUGUUAAUCAACUUUUUUAAUAGCAAAUAAACACAAAAAAAUUUAAAAAAUAAUUUUUCAAAAAUUACUUUUCAGUAAACAAACAUAACCUUAAAUUAAUCAGCCCAAUGAGCUGUAAUCAGUAGUGGUUAAAGCAUGGACAAUGACGGGUCCAGGCGCUCCAGCGUGCACAAACACAAAUAAUCAAUACAAUUAUUUUCUAAGACCUAAAAAGUCAAGACAAACCAGCCAUUCUACAUCAUGCCGUCACUUUGACGAUCGGAAGGCCGGAGGAACGUCCUCUUCAAGAAUCUCAUGUAUUGAGUCAGUCGGUUUGAUCUUAAGGCUUCACUCAGCGAAGGGAAACGUUUAAGAAAUAUCUAAAAAUGAAUAUAAUUGAUUAUAUAGAUUUGGCGGGUAUCAAGAAAGUCAGCCAUAUCUGUAAUCUUUUACACAAAUCCCGCCACAGCCAUAUGCUUUUGCUGUUGGUUUUCACCAUGGAUGCCGCAGCUGGACGCCCCUUGCAAUUUAUACAGAGCAUUGCCAUUUCCCGCCCCAGACGCAAAGAAAUCGUGCUAUUUUUCUUCAUAACGUUACCAGCCAACUUGACUAUUUCAUACUAAUUGUUUAGAACGCGGAUUGAGAAUGCUAAUUCAUACUAUUUUUCUUCGUAAAUGUGGUAUUCCGGCAACGGUUAGUUUUUUUAAAGUAUUUUCAUUAAAAUAUUUUUUACAUUAACAAAUCAAAACUAUGAUUUAUUUUCAUAAGAGAAGUGAGUGCUAUGCAUUUUAUAUCCUUUGUCUCAAGCUCUAACAUUUAUUUCUUCACGAUAAUUUUAAAAGCAUAUAAUUAACCCAAUACUCUCUCACGUUUCAAGUCCCUUGAAUCUCAUUUAAUUAAAUUAAAUGGUUUUAUCACCGCAUAUAUGGCAUUACUACUGCAGGGCAGUUGAAGCAUCUAAUUUAGCAUCUCCUUUUAUAUUACAUGUGUUUUGUGAUUAAGACAAGAGAAAACUCCUUAACUAACGGCUGACCUUUCACCAUGUCAUAUAAGGUAUGCAGUCUAGAUUAAUUUAUUAGGAAUUUCUUGAAUACCUCACUUCUAGGAAUUUGGUGCUCUUCAGUGCUGCAUUAUUCGGCAUGAUAGUUGACAAACCGAGGAGAAAUUUGAGGAUUAUGAAACGAGGAUGUUGCUAUUAAUGAAGAAGAAAUCUCACCGGACAACUAGUUUAUUCUAAGAAUUCCUAGUAGUUUCGGAUGCAGCGGCCAAGUAACCACGUCAAGAAUGUUGAAAAAACAUUUUCACACUCCCGAAAGCGAAAUGAAAAUUUCAUCAUUUGAUGCUUACGGCUUGUUCUGAGCCUAACAGAGGAGAAAUAGGCAUGGCGACUCCGUUCAAAGGUACUCGGUAAAUAUCCUGCCACUGCUGGUAUGAAGAAAAAUUAACUGGUAUCGAUUCUGUUGAUGUUAGAGCAAACGAAUCUCAAAUUACUCGCCACAGGGCACUCCAUACAGCAGGGAAGGAACGGAACAGCUCACAAAAUAUGUCUUUGAUUUCAUAUUCGAGAAGAAGAAGAAAAAAACUGAAACCUAUAGAUUUUGCAGAUUCUUUUUUUUUCCUGUCUGUUUUUUGGGGGUUUUAAUGUAAUUUAUUGGUCGUGGAAAAAAAAAGUGAUUUGAAGAGUUGAAAAGAAAAGGGAUGAAAGAAGCCAUGUGAAAUCAGGACAUGCCAACGAACAUAAAUUGAGGUGCUAACUAAAACAUUGUAGUUUAUCAUAUUAAAAAAACAAAAACAAAGAAUGAGUCUCCACAUGGUUAGUUUUCAAUCUGAUAAACGUCAUACGUUAUUGACCGAGCCAAACUUCAUCAAGAGACAUUUUUCAAUUUAUUUAUAAAGACACUCGAGCAAUAUUAUAACGAUUGACUUUGAUCACAUCAUGCCGAUUAUAAAUAAAUAAAUAAAAUAAAAUAAAAUAAGAUCAUAUCAUUUCAUAUCAAGUGAGCACCAAAUUGUUAGCUCUAAAGUUCCAUUAUACCUCAUUCGUUCUUCUCCCUCCAGCAUGUUAAGAAGAUUAGAACAUGGCGAUCAAGAUAAUACUACCUCUUUAUUGUUUAUCAUUGGGAAAGCCUUUUGCAUGCCCGUAUUGGUUGGGGUUGCUAGGAAAAAUCCGCCGAAUGAACUAUUUAAGUCAUUGGGAAAGUCUUUUGCUUGUCCGUUUAUCAAGAAUUUUUUUUUUAAUCCAAAUCAAUCAAUAUCGUUUCAAUUUUUUAAAAUUUUAUUCCAAAUAUAGUUUUGUUUUUUUAAAAAAACAGCUAAAAGGAUACUUAAUCGAGUUCGGAUUCGAGCCCAAGCAUAUAUAAUAACAUUUGCCUGUCAAAGGCGGCCUCGAACUUAUUUUCGGGACUCAAUAAAUCUAUUAGACUAUGGGCUGAAGUGCCGAACCCAUUUAAAGUUUGACAAAAUUCCCAGGACCAUGAACUAUUUAAGUUCCAGCAGCGUAACUCGGCAAAAGAUUUGCGUGGUUGCUUCUACGUUGAAGCAACCAUGAUUAUGUAGAAAACACAAUUUAUUUUUGAACCUAGUUUGUUUGUUAGAAAAUAAUUUUUUUUUAAAGUGAAUUUCAGGAAAAUAAAUUCUAAAAAAGUAUUUUUCGAUGUUUGGUAGUGUAAUGAAAAAUAAAUUGGAAAACACUUUUCAGUGUUUGGUUAUGUCAUGGAAAAUAAGCUGAAAAAUAACUUAUUAAUGUUUUAUUUUUUUCAAGUUUAUUAAAAUAAUGAGGAACAAAUCUUACAAAUUAAAAAGUUGAAUGAGAAUGAAAUUGAAAAAAAAUAUAAUUUCAUAAAUUAUCUCAAAUAAAAUAAAUAAUAAUCAAAAUAAUAGAGAUACAAAAAAUAAAAAAAUUGAAAGAUGAAGAAAUUAAAAUAAUAAUAAUUAACAUUUUAUAAAUUAUUUCAAAUAAAAUAAGUAACAAUCAAAAGAAUGAUGACCAAAUUUGAUAGAUAAAAAAUUUCAAUUAAAAAAUGAUAAGGAAAAAACAAAAUAAAAAUGAGGACCAAAGUUAAUAUAAAAAUUAAAUUCUAAGGGAUGAAAUUGAAAAAUAAAUAUUCAAUAUAUAUAUAUAUAUAUAUAUAUAUAUAUAUAUAUAUAUAUAUAUAUAUAGCAAUCAAAAGUUUGAGGAUCAAAUUUGAUAUAAUCGGUAAAUAAUAUGACAUUUCUAACUUUUUCACAACUUUCAGAAAGUGUUUUCCGUCCAAAAUAAAAGGAAAACACUUUCCUGAAAACCAAACCAAAUUUUUCUUUGAUUGGAAAGUGUUUUUCGUUGACCUGAAAGUGUUUUCCGUUGACCAACUUUCCUAAUGACAAACAAACACAGAAAAGUUUGGAAAGUGGUUUCCCGGAAACCAUUUUCCGGGAAACAAAUGCCCCUUGAUGGGGCUCAUGAUAAUUCACGUUUUGCAUGUGAUUUUCGUGAAGCAGUUCCUGGCUGCUUUUCAUUCAUCAGCAUUUCAAUGAACAGUGCAAUUCACUUAAAACAAUAAACAGUGCAAUUUACUUGCACUGUUCGCGUAAAUAAUUUUUUUUUCAGUGUGUUUAUUUUUUGUACAUUUUUUAUAAAAAAAACUAGUUUAAAGUGAAUUAAAUUUACUCGCAUUGUCAUGUAAACAAUAUUUUUUUUCCUGAAAAACUAGUGUAGAGUGAAUUAAAUUCACUUGCACUGUAAUAUCAAAUCAAUUUUAUUCUUGAUAAUAUUUUAUCUAAUUUUAUUGCACGCUCAAAAAAUAAUGGAAACUGUAGUUCUUGUUGGAUGAAUUUUGUACGUAAUGUAAUUGUAGAUGGUUUAACGGAAUAAUAAAAAAUAUUUUAUAUAAAGUAUUAUUUAUUUCAUGAUAUAAUAGCAAUAGUUAAAUCUAUAAUAUUUAAAUUAAAAACUAUCAAUAUUAAUAUAUAUUUUUUUAAAUUAUUUUAUAACCUCAAUUUUAAAAGCAUUCUUAACCAAAUACAUUAAACUACUUUUUGUUCAACCUCAAUUUCAACCACAGUUUUAACCAAACACCUAUUUUUUCAAACCAACCUCAACUAAAACUACUUAUUAUAAAAUAAUUUUUUUAAAAUUAUAACUACAACAGUUACCGAAAUACCAUAUGUUCACAGAGACCAACUUGAAGUACCGUAUUUUCGAGUUCUUCAUCAACUCAAAACCUUGAUCCAGAAACAUAUAAAUGAUAAGCUCCUGAUUCUCAUACCGCAACGAUCUGGAAAGCUAUUAAGAUUUUAAAGGAUACAUGGAUGAGAAAUACUCGGCAGCACAUCGGUCCUCGACAGACAAGACAAGCCAAAUUCAGUGAACUGAUUAGUGCUGAUAAUAUCCUACAAAUAAAAGCAGAGAAAACAGACACACACCGAGAAAUGCUGAUGCCUUCCCCUUUAUUCUUAAUAUCUCCUUCUUCCAAAAUCCCUUUGUCUUCUGCCGACCCACUACAUUUAUCAGAAACCAAAUGCUAUUUAAGACGAAAUAAUAGAAAAAAUUGAAGAAAAAGGACUGGAAAAUAAUACAGCAUCAAUACCUGUCUUUUCAUAUUUGUGGAGGCUUAUCAUUUCAUUGCUCCCCUCUCAACUUCCUUCGUAAACGAGCCAUGCUCACAGCAAUGAACACUUGAAUACUAUCUUUCACUCUAUCCACAAAUUUGAAAUAGGCAUCUCUUCAGGACUUCUUUAUCACCAAAGUGCCACAAACAGCCCAAAACCCGAACACGAAUCCCAGUUCCAGGCGCUAGUAGAACCAUAUCAUUUCAAUUCAAUCACCAUCAUUUUUGCGGUUGUCAUUCUUGGCCUUGUUACCCUCAUCAACCGGCUUGGAGCAGUUUGAUAGUAAUGGAGGACCACAAAGCUCAGGGUUUCCCUCAUAAAUUGAAGGAUCAGUGAAGGUACCGAACUGGUUUGAUGGAGUCGGUCCUGUAAAUUGUUGUGUGACAAGUUCAAAUGGUUCAAGGAAGUCAGAGAAGAAAUGCGCUUGAAGAAACGAGACCUGAAAGAUGGUUGAUUGAGAGGUCUAGAGUUUCUAAAAGUUUCUGGUCUCCAAUCAUUCCUGAUAUCUUUCCAGUCAAUCGAUUCCAAGACAAAUUCAAGGUAACUAAGCAGGAAAGAUUUGUCAAUUCUUCUGGAAUCUCUCCCUGUAGGUCAUUACUCGAGAUAUGUAUGAAAUUCGCAAGACCAAGCGUCUACCUGUGUUCAAGUUGCCCUCCCUUCAUAUUCAACGCCAUCUCCUCCAUGUAAAAGGGGUAGUCAGAUGGAUCAUAGAACUCAAACAACUUAGAUUGCCCAAACAUGGUGGGAUUGGUCCUGAUAAAUUGUUUUGUGCAAUGUCCUGAUAAAUUGUUGUUUCCAAUAUCAAGUGUCCAUAAACCUGUGCAGUUUUGCAAAGACCGCAAAAAUUUCCCAGAAAUUGUUGCUGCUCAAUUUCAUAACUCGAAGCCAAGGUAGUGAGCACAUGGAACUUGGGAUGCCACCAGAUAGAUUGGUCUUCGAUAGAUGAUAGAUCUAGGGUGUCUAGUAAUUCAAAACCCUUCCAAUGCCUAUAGAUUUUUCUUGAUAACUGGUUGUCGGAGAGAUUAAGAAUGCCUGGAUUCUUUAUUUUGCUCAUGGAAGAAGGAAUUUUGCCAUGUAGAGAGUUCCCUGAAAGAUCUAGAACGUUCAACAUUGACGUUACUUGGCCUAAUUGGUCCGGAAAAUAUGCUUUUCAGAAUGAGAGUUUCAAGAUUAGAACAGAGUGGGAGUCGGCCGUCUAAUUGGUUUUUAGAAAGAUCCAGCGCUUUAACUUGAGGGAUUAAUUUCCUACAGAAGCCAGAUAUUGUGCCUGAAAGUGCAACAUCUGCACGCCCUAAGAAAAUUAACUACUGUUGAGUCUCUAGCCAUGCUAGAAAUGUUAGACCUAUUCCCAAUCAGUGAUAGAGAUUUCUACCAGACUCACAGGGGAAUCCACUGUGUGGUCUUACAUCUGAUGCAAGAGACUUGUUUGAAGAUGACAAAUAGAAAGUUUUCAAGUCGUUGAGUGUGAGGUAAUGAAUCUCAGAUACGAUGCCUUCCCAGGAGUCUUCAUCAAGAUACAGAUUAACUAAAGACUUAAGUUGACCGAUUAUUUCAGUCUGAGUCGGUCUUUCUCUAGAGCUUCGUUUCCUUUACUUCGAAAUUAACAGAGCUCAUUUGUCUUCGUAGUGAGGAUUGAAUUUAUUAGCAAAGGGUAAAUGAAGAUUUUAAGAUAAAAAUGUGUAUGUUACGAAGACAACAAAAAUUAUUGUUUUGAUUUGACUUUACAGCGAGGCAGUAAAUUUCUCGGGUUCUGUAUCAGUCAGUGGUGAUGGCAGCUGGGUUUGUGAAGGUGAAGGUAGACAAAUUAACCACAGCGGCAUCCUGAUCUUGCAAGUUUUUCUUUUUUUCUUGGAUAAUUAAUUACUCUGACGAAUUUGGAUUAAUGGCUAUUGCUAGUCUACACAAUGUUUCCGUGCUUAGUUCUUCCUUCAUCAAGGAAUCUCAAUCAGAAGCAGUGAGAAGACGGGGUGAUGAUGGAGGGGAAGCACCCGGACAUCGUCACACCUGCAAACACAGCAGGAGCUUGAGGAUGAGCAUGUGGUGAGUCAUGUCCGAGGAAGGGUUAGUGAUAGAUUGGUCCAACGUCAAAGUGACGGAAAGAGUACUGAUCUAUUGAGGGUGUUUGCAUCUGAUAGCCACUUUAACAAUCGUAACUGUAACGAUCAUGGUGGUUCUUCAGAGGGUGGCGGGAGCGAGUACAAAUGAAGAGGCAAAGAGGUGCUUGUGCUGAUUACUCUUGAGUUUCAAGAACUUUUUUGUCAUGUGAAAAACAAUGGCAGUAAUUUUGAUAAUUUGAUAUUUUUUAAAAAGAAUUUUAGAAGAAAAUUAAAUAUUAAUGCAUAUAUAAAAUCAUGAUAUAAAUGAUAACUAGCUUUGAUACCCGCGCGAUGCCGCGGGUCAUUUUUUUUUCCAUAAAAAAUAUUAAAAAAAAUAAAAGUUUAAAAAUCUUGUGUUUUUCUGCAAAGUUAUACCCAAGAAUCUUAGGUUUGGCUGCAACAUUUGACCUAAGAGUAAUAUUUAUAAUAUUAAUAAUAAAAUUAAACUUGCAUGAUCCAAGUUUAAGUGAGUCUGGCUCUAACACCGGACCCAAGAAUACUGGAUGUGGGUCUGGCUAUAAGAUCGUGUCAUAAAAGUGUGAUAAUUAAAUAGAUUAAUUAAAAAAACAAAGAAAAAAAAUCAACACGAAGGAAAAAACUAAUGAAGAAAAGGAAAAAAAAAACAUUGAAUUAAUUGGGUCAACCUUUUAAACCAGGUUAUCCCGUAAAACCUGGGAUUUGCGUCGUGAAAGUUUGAUAACUAAAUAGAAAAAGAUAUGACGGGUUUACCUAGAAUUAACCGGGUUAACCCAUCAAACCAAGUUAACCCGUCAAGCCCAGGAUACGUGUCAUGAAAGUAUGAAAGUCUAAUAAUUAAAUAGAAAGAAAAUUAACUUUAAUAAACUAAACUAAAUGAAAAAAAUAACUCGUAAAAUCAGGUUAACCCAUCAAACCCGAGAUUCGUAUCAUGAAAAUCUGAUAACUAAAUAAAAAAAAAAUUAACAUUAACAAACUAAAUCAACAAAAAAAAUUCAUUAAAAAAAAUAAAAAGAAAAAACAAAAGAAAAAAACAGUUAUAUAAUGUAAUACAAUAUAAUAAUUAUUAUAAUUAUAAUUAUAAUGAAAAAAUGUGGGAAAAUUUUUUUUAAAAAAAAAAGUGGGGAAAACUAAAGCUAAAGCUAAAUUCUCAACCAACUCAAUGUUGAAAAAAUAAAUUUAACAAAGAUAAUUUUAAAAAAAAACAUAUGGGGGAAACAUUGUAGCCAAACAAAAACUAUGUAAGGGAAACACUGUAGUAAUUCAUAGUAUUUUUUUUUUAAAAAAACAAAGCUACAAAGCUAAUCUCUCAACCAGCUCAAUAUAUAAAAAAAACCGACAAAGGCUAUCUAAAAAAAACAAAAGAAGUCAAUUGUGGGUAAAAGAAAUGAAAAAAAAUAUACAAAAAAGGAAACAAAAGCGAAAAAACAAACACGUGGGGAAAGCUACAGUGUUUUAAAGAAAAAGACAAAAAAACUAAAUUUUCAACCAGCUCAAUAGUAAAAAAAUAAAAUCAACAAAAAUAAUUCUGAAAGAAAAAAAAAAUAUGUAAAAAAUGAUAAUUUUGGAAAAAAAGAAAAAUAAAAAAAACAAAAAAAAAACAUAUGGGGAAAGCUAAAGUUAGAUUAUCAGCCAGCUCAAUAUUGAAAAAAUAAAUUCGAUAAAGAUAAUUUUUUUUAAAAAUAUAUGGAGAAACACUGCAGCAAAACAAAAACUAUGUAGGGGAAACACUGUAGCAAUCCAUAUUGUUUUUUUUUUUUUAAACUACAAAACUAAAUUCUCAACCAACUUAAUAUAAAAAAAAUAAAAUCUAUAAAGACCAUUUUGAAAAAAAAAAAAAUAAAGAAAUCAUAAAAAAAAAGAAAACAAUGUAUAAGAAUAUUAUAGCAAUCUACAAUGUUUUAAAGAAAAAAAAUAUAUAGUUAAAUUUUUGACCAGCUCAAUAUUUAAAAAAAUUAGCAAAGAUAAUUUUGAAAUAAAUUUUUUUUUAAAAAAAGAAACAAAAAAAAAUUAAUUUUGAAUUAAAAAAAAAGCAAAAAAAAACAUAUAUAAAAAAAAGACCUACUAAAAAAAACCUGUUAUAAAAAAAAAAACACAAACCUGCUACAGUGAAUAUCUCAAACGUUUUAAAGUUCUUUAAUAAUUUUUUAAGUUACAAUGUAUAAUUGCAAUUCAGACCCUUUUGUUUUCUUAUUUACUUUCUACAUCGUCACAAGAGAGAAAAAAAAAAGGAGGGAAUUAAAUCAGAAUAGGGUCAUUUCAGUAAAUACAGUUUCACUAUAAAUAGUAAACACAAACAAAAUCUUAAAUCUUACAUCCCUCCAGAUCUUAAAAAAAAAAAAAAAACACCACCACCCUGGUCUCUUCUCUUGACACUGCUCCUCUACCUACAUGGAAAAUUAAUCCAAAACAAUGAGAGUAUCUACACCCUCCGCUACCGACGACCGCGCCGCCACGCUGAGCGGCGGAGGCUAUCGGGACGCCGAAUCACUACUCCGUUCAAAAACCAUAUCCGAAAUCCGCAAUGUCGAAUCUGCAACUCGACAGCAAAUCGAAGAAAAGAAAGAAGAGCUUCGUCAAUUAGUCGGUAACCGAUAUCGUGACCUAAUUGAUUCGGCCGAUUCUAUCGUUCUCAUGAAAUCCUAUUGUGGAUCAAUCUCGCAUAACAUCGCAUCGAUUCACAUCAGCAUUCGCUCCCUUUCUGCUUCUCCGUUAUCAGAAACCCCCAAAUUCACAAACCCUAGCUCUACGCGUGGUAAAAUUUAUGGGAUCGCGUGUCGGGUCAAGUAUUUAGUUGAUACCCCGGAGAAUAUCUGGGGAUGCUUGGACGAAUUCAUGUUUUUGGAGGCAGCAGGGAGGUAUACACGUGCAAAGCACGUGCAGAAUACGUUGAUGAGUAGUGAUUAUAAUAAGAUCUUGUCGAAUUUCCCACUCUUGCAGCAUCAAUGGCAGAUUGUGGAGAGUUUGAAAGUGCAGAUUUCACAGAAAAGUCGCGAGAGGUUGUCAGAUCAAGGGUUGGGAAUUGGGGGUUAUGCGGAUGCGUUGGCUGCGGCAGCAGUGAUUGAUGAAUUGGAGCCUGAUCAGGUAUUGGGUUUGUUUCUUGAUAGCAGAAAGUCAUGGAUUUCACAAAAAUUAGGGGGUUUCGGUUGGGUUGAUGUAAAAAAUGAUAAUGUCAGUGGUGAGGUUGUCGUUUUUGUGUUUUGUGAAGUCUUAAAGAUAAUUCAAGUUAGUGUGGGACAAGUAGGAGAGUUGUUUUUGCAAGUUUUGAAUGACAUGCCUUUGUUUUAUAAAGUUAUUUUAGGUUCUCCUCCCGCUUCCCAAUUGUUUGGGGGGAUUCCGAAUCCAGAUGAGGAAGUGAGAUUGUGGAAAUUGUUUAGGGAAAAGCUCGAGUCUGUGAAUGUUGCUCUAGAUAAAGAAUAUAUUGCCAGGACUUGUUUGAGUUGGUUGAGGGAUUGUGGCGGAGAGAUUGUGAGUAAGAUUAAUGGGAGGUUCUUGAUUGAUGCGAUUGCCACGGGUGGAGAGCUUGCGGUGGCUGAGAAGAUGAUUAGGGAGACUAUGGGUAGUAAGCAGGUAUUGGAGGGAAGUUUGGAUUGGCUCAAGAGUGUUUUUGGGUCUGAGAUUGAGUUGCCUUGGAGUAGGAUCCGAGAGUUAGUUUUAGAAGAUGACUCGGAUCUCUGGGAUGAGAUAUUUGAAGGUGCUUUUGUUCAGAGGAUGAAAACUAUAAUCACAUCACGAUUUGAGGAUUUGGUUAGAGGCAUCAAUUUGGGAGAGUCCAUUUGUGCAGUCAGAGAGACUCCUGGUGAACCGAUUGACUUUCAGGCAUACUUGAACAGACCUUGCACUGGUGGUGGGGUUUGGUUUAUUGAACCCAAUGCAAAGAAGUCUGGUCUAGGUUCUGGUCAUAAGGUGUCGCCUGAAGAGAAUGAUUUUCAUAGUUGUCUCAAUGCGUUCUUUGGUCCUGAAGUUAGUCGUAUCAGAGAUGCAGUGGACAGUUGUUGUCAAAGUGUUCUCGAGGACCUGCUCAGUUUCUUAGAAUCUCCAAAAGCAGCUCUCAGGCUAAAUGAUUUGGCACCAUUUUUACAGGAUAAGUGUUAUGAGAGCAUUUCAACUAUAUUAACAGAACUCAAGAGGGAGCUUGAUAGUUUAUAUGCUACAAUGGGGAAUGCUAACAAUGUUGGUCAGUCGGUUUCUCCUGCCAUGGUUGUUGACAAAUCUCUUUACAUUGGGAGACUUUUGUUUGCAUUUCAAAACCACUCAAAACACAUUCCUGUAAUACUGGGCUCUCCAAGGUUUUGGGCCGAAGAUACUAUGGCUGCAGUUUUUGACAAGUUACCAUCUGUAUUGAGGCAAUCUAGAGUUGCUAGUGACUAUCCUAUCCCUGACAGUCCUGGCAGGCAAUUUCCCACUGGAUCUAAAAGACAGACCUCAUCUGCUGCCUCUGCUUUACUUGGAGCAAAUGAAAGUGCAAGUCCUAAACUUGAAGAAUUAGGCAGAACCAUGAGGGAUCUUUGCAUCAGAGCUCAUAUCUUAUGGAUAUCCUGGUUAUCUGAUGAGCUUUCAACCAUUCUUGCUCUGGAUCUUGGAAAAGAUGAUGGAUUAUCGGCAACAACUCCCUUGAGGGUAUGUAGUGUUUGCUUGACAAGUUACCAUUCUAGCCCUAUAUUUUGUUUUGAUUUUCUCUGUAUCUCUGUUAAGCAUCUUAAAUGGAUGUGUGCUGUUAUAGAAAAUAGUUCUUGUGUUUUCUGUUCACUGCACAAUUUAUCUGGUUUACAAGCAUGCUAAGCUUUGUCAUCCUCUGAAUGUGAGCAGGGCUGGGAAGAGACAGUAGUCAAGCAAGAACAAUCUGAUGAGAACCAGCCAGAAAUUAAAAUUUCACUACCAUCCAUACCUUCACUCUAUAUCAUCUCAUUUCUGUUUCGGGCAUGUGAAGAAAUCCAUAGAAUUGGAGGUCAUGUUCUGGACAAAUCAAUUCUGCAAAAAUUUGCUUCAAGACUACUGGAGAAGGUAUGUAACUGGGCUGGAUUGUUGAUUUUACUUCCUCCACAAAUUCUAUUUCAAUGCGGUAAUGUAUGUGUUAUUUAUAGCCAUAUUCUAAAUCUUAAGCUUAUUUUAUUAUUUUUUGUGUGUUAUUGUUUAUUAUUUAAAUAGAAGUUAUAAGGCCAUUUUUUCAUCCUUAUUCCUCAUUAACAAUCUAGGUUGGUAUAUUCAUAUGCUGGUGUUGUUUUACAGUGUUUUCAUCUUUUAAUAAUUUCUUUCCUUGCCUGCUGAUCAUUCAUUUUUCUUGGAUCUCAUUGUAAAUAUCAAACAUUCGUGAUUACUUACACUGCUAGAAUUUGUUAAACAGCUGGUUUUUUGGGUCUAUUUUUUUUUCCUUGCUUGCUAUUUUUUUAAGUGGUGGUUUAGGAUGGCAAGAGAAAACUGGUUUAGUUUAAAAUUGACCAAUAGCAUUUCCCAUCGUCUUUGCAUGUGCUGACUGUAUACUUCUUGCAGGUUAUUGAAAUUUAUGAGGACUUCCUUUCCUCUAGUGAGUCUCAUCAGUCUCAAGUGUCAGAGAAAGGAGUUCUUCAAAUUCUGUUAGACCUGAGAUUUGCUGCUGAUGUUCUAUCUGGGGGUGAUUGCAAUAUUAAUGAGGAGAUAUCUAGAAAUCCAAGGGUGAAGAUUCCUUUCAGGCGGAAGCAGGAGCAAAGCCAUAAGAAGUCGGCCUUUAGAGAGCGUAUUGAUGGGUUAAUUAACUGUUUUUCACAGAGGCUUGAUCCCAUAGACUGGCUUACGUAAGCCUUUUCAUCCUUAAUUUAAAAAGAAAGCAUGAAAAUUUUCAAAUAAGUACAACCUUGGGCUUCUGUCUUCUAGGUCUAAAGGUUGUGUGUAUUUCUGUGCACAUGGCAUGCCCUUAAUUGAUUAAUCCAUUCAUGGGAAUUGUCACCAUCUUAUGGCUUAAGAGUCACAGUUUGCAUUCUCCUUAUAAAGUCAAGUGUUGAGGCCAUAAAGCAAACAACCUGGUCUCUGAUAAAUUAUAUAGGUUAAGGUCUCAACUAAUGAUAAAAAUUUGGGAACUACCAAUCUGAUAUUAGUUGCAUGCUGUCCCUUCUACAUGUGCGCUGAUGUGCUCUCAGGGGACUUCUUUCCUUGUGUAUCUCUGCAUACAAUUUGCAUUUUGAACCAUUGAAGUAGUAGUUCAUUUUCCCAUCGUGAUUAGGAGUUAUGGCAUAAUUGAAUAUUUUGUCUGAUUUGAUGAUUCUUUUUGUUGUAUUUUUUACUUGUUUAGGUAUGAGCCAUACUUGUGGGAGAAUGAGAGGCAGUCGUACUUGCGGCAUGCUGUCCUUUUGGGGUUCUUUGUGCAACUAAACCGGAUGUAUAUUGAUACUAUGCAAAAACUACCAUCCAAUCCAGAGUCAAAUAUCAUGAGAUGUUGUACUGUUCCUCGCUUUAAAUACCUUCCAAUCAGGUUGAUGUUUUAAACACAUUUCUUUGAAAAUCAUGCCCACCAAACAUUUGUGCAUGACAUUAAUUCAGUGUCUUCUGUUUUUGAAUAACCUUUUCAAUUAUUUCAAGUGUAAUUGGUAUUUUCUCCUAGUUUCUUAGUUGUCCAAUGCAGCUAAUUUCUUCUUACUUGUCCAGCACGCCAGCAUUGUCUUCAAGAGGGACAACAAAGACUUCUUUUCAAGCAACUUCAGAUGAUAUCUCUUCUAGAAGUUCCUGGAAAGCUUAUACCAAUGAAGAGCUUUCUCGAAAUAUUGAUUUGGAUGAAAACUCUAGUUUUGGUGUAGCAACACCAAUUUUGAAGUCUUUCAUGCAGGUAAAGCUUUUUUUUUUUUUUGCCUUUCUAUAUCAUGGCCAGACAGGUCUGAGAUUCAGAAGAUGAGUGUCCCUGAAUUUUAUUUUCCUUUUCAAUUAUUAUAUUACUGAGAAGAGGAAGAAAAGAAGCCUAGUUGUUAUUAAAUUAUGAGAGCAUAAUUUUGUAGAUGUAGCUGAUACUGGGUUUAUGUAAGAAUGAAUUAUUAGCAGAAAUAGCAUUUUUUUUGUUUGAUUUGAAGUUUAAUGACACAAAGGAGAAGUGCCAUGUUUGGUGAAUUAAAUAUCUUCUGGAGAAUAGUGAAAUAUCUAAUUUGAUUUAUGAUGGCUGUAGAUGAUUGGUAGUGCUGUCUACAGUGUCUUGUAUGCUCAACUGAGGUUCGGAUGCACUUUGGUUCUAUGGAUUCAAAGCUUAAAGAUUUGCUUGAGGGCUUAUAGCUCUAGCUGGAUCAGAAAUGCAGAAGUGGUCUAAUUUCAGCUUCUGAAAUGGCUACUAAAAGCUGUAAUCAUUAGUCAAGGCUACUUUCUAGCAAAAAAAUUGAAAGCCGUCGUGUUCUUUUCAAGGAUGUAAUGGUUUGUUACGAAAAGGUUUGGAUUCGAGGCCUAAUACAUGAUUAGGACAAGGAAAAACAGAUAGUUUGUGUGGAGAAGUGACUUGAGUCCACUUGGUUACCUAGGAGAAUUUUUACUUCAAGGUGGGGGCUUAUAUGGAGUUUGUUUAGAUUUGUAAUCAGCUGCAUGGGUGCAGAAGUAGUAAAAAGGAAAGUUUGCGGAAAUGACUAAAGCAGUCAAAUUUUAUGAGAGAAGGUAUUUUACCAACAAAAGAAAGUUGUGCUUGCUAAGGGUGGUGAUAACUCUCUAAUCAGACCUGUUUCUGUUUCUUAGGAGGGGUUAUAGGGGGAUGGAUGGGAUAAAUUCCAUAUUUGGCAUGAUGGAUGAAGACCUAAGGAAGCAAAGGAAAGAUCCUAUCCUUCCUCACUUGUUUUGACAGUCCAUCCAAUGUGGGUGAAGUGGACUCAGUCCUCUCCCUCUUUUGUCAGCCAAAAAACUAGAUGGAUGGGUUUACAUGCAUCCUUUCUCCUCACCAUUCUCCUAGUUUACUCUUUGAUUCCUCCUCCAUACCCAUCCUUCCUAACAAACAGACUCUGUUCCUGUAGAGAUGUGGAGCAUGAUUUUUGGUAGGCCUCUUUGAAGUCUGAUAGCUUACCGGCAAUUCCAUACUCUAUUAAAACCACGAAGCUGCAGGAUAGAAGCAUUCUGACAGCAUGUGCCCUUAAAAUAAAAAGAAAAAGACAACCAAUGUAAGGCCUGGGAACUGCAAUAAGAAUUUAUGCUUGGGAUUGGGAAGUAGUAGCAUUCAAACUUCAGCAGAGAAGACAAAUACCACUCUUAGAAAUGGCAGAGAGACUGGAAAGAAAUUCUAGCUUAAUUAAGCAAACAGUCAUAAGCUAUGUAGUUAAUACUAUUAGUUCCACAGAUAAAGUUAUCAAUGAUGAUUACGCCAUUGCUUAUUUUCUUGAUUUGAUUAUAGUGAGUAAAUAUAGACUGGAUUCUAGCAGGUAUGAUUAUGUAAAAUUUGAGGGAUGGCUUGCUUUUUCCCCCUUCGUUGUGGCAUUUUCUUGAUUUAGUUUUUGGUGGACAAACAUAGGUUAAUGUUGUUGUCUGGGAAGCUAACAUUAUGAUAACAUUUUUUUCUCAUAAUGACCAGGUUGGAAGCAGGUUUGGAGAGAGCACUUUAAAAUUGGGAUCUAUGUUAACGGAUGGGCAAGUAGGCAUAUUCAAGGACAGAUCGGCAGCUGCCAUGUCAACAUUUGGUGAUAUUUUACCUGUCCAAGCAGCUGGUCUUCUUUCAUCAUUCACAGCUACCAGAUCAGACUCUUGAUUUCCCGUGAUCUAAUUUACUUGCACAUGUUAUAUUAGUGAUGAGAAUGUGUGGCAAUUCGGUCAUUGUAUCAUUCUAUGCAUGAUAUGAUGCAGAAAUCAAUAUGAAAUGGAGAGACAGAGUACAGGAUAAAAUGGUGGAAUGAUGGUAAUAUGUGAAGAAAAAGAAAAGCACCUGGAAGUUUGAAUAGAUCCAGCGGGAAUCAAAAGUAGGUAUUUUGUUCGCCAGUCUAUACUGUAGAAAGAAACCAAUAAAAACCCAACUGGGUAUGAAGAAAUGUGAUUGGUUUAUACAUGAUGUUACUUUGUACAGAGAGACCAUUGUCUCCGCUGACUAUUUCCUUCACUGAUGUCAUAGAUAUAUGCUGAGGUUUUUGAGGAUGUAAAGCAGAAUAUCUAGCAAUAUAUUCUUAGCUUGGUUCAUAGUUUGUGUUUCAGUGGUUUAAGAGUCUCUCUCCGGUGAAGGCUUUAAUUCUCCUCCUGUUGCAUUGGCUUGUCCCUAUAGAUUUUGUAUUUGUUUAACGAGACUCUUGUUCAACUGGAAUAAACGGUAUAAAACAUUGGUUUUGCUGAUGAAAAGCUUUUAAGUUUUGUGGUUGAGAAUUUAUUUAGAUUAUCAUCCGCUGGCUUCUUUUCCGGUGUUGCUUGAUUGCUUUUUCCUUCUAAGAUUUGUGUGCUUGUUUAUGCUUUUUACAUUUGGCAGUGCUUUCUCAAAGAAAAAUACCGUGCAUUUUCUUCUGGAAUUUUCCUUUACUCCUUUUGCGUUCAAGGUGAUAUAUUUUUUGCUGAGCAGAAAAGAAAGAAGAAGAAAUUGAAAGGAGUUGCUGAAUUGCUGUUCCCAGUCCAGCAUAAAAGGUGCUGAAUGGAGGGAAGCCUCAUGCUCCAUCUGAGUAAGUUUUAGUUAGAGAUUAUAUUGAGAAUCGAUUCACAGGUUACAAAUAAUUUGAAAAUUUUCCGUGUUCUAUUGCAUAUAUGUGGUGGUAGUUCUGCUUUAUUUAACAAUUUUAUUGAUGAAGAGGCCAGUAUGCCCAGAGAAACAUAAUCAGCAUGAAGCCCUCAUAAAAUUAAGCAAUGGAGGGUCAUAUAAUGAAGCCUUCACAAGAUUAAGCCAUGGAGGAGCAUACAGUAAUAAAGAAAGGUCCAGGUAGUCCUGAACUAUCCAAUGUCCGAUGGCUAAAAAAAAAAAAAAGAACUCGUAAAGAGAAACAUACAGCAGGGCCGGCAAACUACGGCCACCGUCAUGCAAGAAAGCGGUUCCACUUCAAAAUCCGCCGCAUACCGCAAUUUUAGUACCAUGUAUGGUGCAACCAUCUCGGCCUAAUCUCCAUAAGGAUGGUCCGUAAUACAUGUGGCCCAUGCUUGCCUCAUAUACUCAGCUCAUAAAAAGUAUUAUAAACAUAAUGUAUUUCAUGAAUUUUUAAAUAAAUUAUAUUUACAGUUUUUAACUAUAUAAAACAUAUUAAAAAGAGUAUCGCCGAUCACAUAUUACAUUUUAUAUAAAUUAUUUAUUUAUCCUUUCAAAUUAAUUUCCACACAGGCUUAUGAAAUUCGUUCUCUUAAGCAAACUUGCUUUUAACUUUAAUUCACGAAUUUUAAUCAGCAGAAUUUAACUAAAACCAAGCUUGGUUCAUUUAUAUAGAGGAUUUUUAAAAUAGACAGGCAUAAAUUUCUUAUAUCUUAACAAGUUGGAACCAAGUCUCCAGCGAGAUGAGUUUCGAGCGGUCCAUGAGCGCCUCUGGUCACUUGCAAAGAUUUGACGAUUAAUUUUUAAAACAUAUCAGUGUCUCUUUCUUAUGCAUAUAGCUAUAGGGUGUUCGGCUCGGACUACCACAACCGAGCUCACUUGUCUUGAAUCCUUGCUGUAUUUUGAGUUUGGAAUACCAAGCCUGAAUUUUAAAAGUGUUUUUGUAUUAGGUUUAUUUUGAAGGGUUUUUAAAUGUAUUUUUUUUGUAUACAUCGACAGUUAAGUCAAAUAACUCAAGAAAAGUGGACCUGCUAAUUAAUUGCAAAUAUUUGAAACUAUAUUUUUCAUGGUCAAAGGAUAACUUAUUAGCGUCUAGUUCAAGUUCUGAGCAAAUUGCUAGGAUCGUGUGCACAAGUAUUUCUCUUGUGACAGACCUAACAAUUAUAGUAUACAUAUUUAAAGAAUUUUCAACAUGCACAUUAAGUGUAUUCAUCCACCAUCUUGACGAGCUUCGGUAAAUGCUCCACACGUGCAUGUUGUCAAUUAAGGACUAAUACUGCAAUAAUCGUCAUUUAAUUACAAGUGCAUUGUGAAAAAAUUGAGGUGUAUGAGCAUGAAAAGAAAAGAAAAGAAAUGCAUAAUGUUGACUUAAGACUAUACGUGGACACCCAUCAUAAGACUAGCUAGUCAUGUGUAUUGGUUUGUGGAGCCGAGGAGGAGGAGGAGGAGGAGGAGGAGGAUAGAAAUUCUUUCAUUUAAUUUGAUAUCUUCAAAGUGAGAGGAGAGGAGAGGAGGGGAGAGGAGGGGGACAAAGAGCACGUAAUUGAGGUAGAGAGAGAGAGAGAGAGAGAGAGAGGAGGGCAACAGAUGUUACGACUGAAAAUGUUCUUUUGUUCUUUCUUUGAAUUCUCUUUCCAUUUGCAUGUAUGUAUGCCUACAACAUGUUAGAGCAUGGGGAAGAGUGCAAAUGCCAAACUCCAAGAAGGAAUGGAAAAAAGAAUAGUCAAGAGAAAGGUUUAGUCAAGUCAUGCUCAUAUGCCUUCCCUCUGAUUUGUUCUGCGUAUCUCAUAAAGUGUAAAAAGGAAGGGGUCAUGGUGUUGGCACUGUCCAAUAAAUGCCAUAGCAUCGAGUAGGGCCAAUCGCACAUCUUCAAUCUUGCAUGAUGGGUGGUGGCAUGGGGAUUUGGAGGGAGGCUCAGAGGGACAACCCGAAAUAAAUGCGAAAGCUUAUAAAGGCUCUUCCUGCUCUCACUACCCUAUUUUGGUAUCGUUAGGCGUGCUUCUGUCGGGAUAUCCCCCUACCCUUGAAACCGUCCCUUUCACCUCCCCUCAUGAAUUAUCCACUCCGUCACCUCUUGUGCAGUCUAACAAACCCUCCACUCCUCUAGGUUUUCACUAUCCUUUUUAGCAAUGUCUUUUACUGCAGCAACCAAAAGGUCCACCGAUUUCUCCCACCGUGUAUGUUUGCGUCUUUCCUUUCAUUUCCCCCCCUCGAUUAAUGUGAUAAUGGCUAACGUAGCUAAAUGUAAGCUUGAUAUGUUCGCUGACUUGUUGCAGGAGGGAUUUGGGCCUUUUCGAGCUACUAAAUCCCUUCAAGGGAGAAGACAUGAUGUGUUUGAAAUUCGUGGGUUCACAGACACGAGUCUUCUUAGUUUUUUAGAUGUUUCUUUCUUUACUCUGAUUUGUUUCCUGAGCCUGUCAAGGAGGGUUGAUAAAUAGCGAGGAGGGAUUCGACAACAUGAAUACUAGUACUAAUGAU
rnacentral:lncRNA from 1 species